rnacentral:lncRNA from 1 species
CGGGGCAAGGCCCAGCUGACGUCGGAAGCGUCGACGCCCGCCCACCUGAUCGUCCCCGUCUCGAGAAGCCUCCCUCUCGACGAUGGGCUUUGGUUCGUGGUCCAGAACAAGACCGACGUCGAGUCCACGCGCGUCGCCGUGCCGGCCAACGCUUACCGCGCGGUGCUCGAGGUCUACGUCUCGUCCCACUACUCCGACGAGUUCUGGUACAUGAACACGCCGGACCAGAACGGGCCGUUCCGCGAGGUCACUGUCCGGCUCGACGGCGACGUCGUCGGUGCCGUGUGGCCGUUCCCGGUGAUCUACACCGGCGGCAUCAACCCCCUCAUCUGGCGCCCAAUCACCAGCAUUGGCUCGUUCAAUCUGCCCACCUACGACAUCGAGCUCACGCCGUUCUUGGGGAAGCUGCUGGACGGCAAGGAGCACGAGGUCGGGUUCGCGGUGACCAACGCGCAGAACUCGUGGUACGUGAACGGCAACCUCCACCUCUGGCUCGACCCCAAGAGCUCCACGACCACCGGCGGCCUCAUCUCCUACGACGCGCCGAAGCUGUCGGGGAGCAUCACAUCGCACUCCGUGGACGGCAUCGACGGGGAGUACCGCGCGACGGCGAGCCGCAACAUCUCGAUCACGGGGUGGGUAAGCUCGUCGCGCGGCAACAUCACCACCACGUUCGCCCAGCGGCUCAGCUUCGCGAACUCGAACGUGGUGAGCAACAAGGGCAGCUCGCAGGUGAUCAACCAGACCACCGACGCUCACGCCGACGUCGGCGGCGGCGCGUACGCGCAGCAGGUGCACCAGAGCUUCCCGCUCUACAUCUUCCAGGGCGGCGACGGCAGCGGCACCUCCUCGCAGCGGCUGAAGCGGCGCGUGGAGAUCGGGUUCGUGGAGUCCCGCGCGGGCGCCGGCGGGGCGGGGACGAGCACGCUGCGCAACGAGCAGGUGGCGGAGGCGGAGGUGGUGCUCCGGGACGACCAGGUGGCCGGCGCGUCGUGGCGGAUGCACCAGGUGUACAACUACGGCGCCAGCAACGGCGGCUGCUACUUGAGGAACGUGACCAGCGUCGGCUACGACGUGCUUUUCGACCAUGACGUGGCGUCGUGCGCCGGGACGCGCCGACGUUGACGGCUGUCGGCCGGCGCCCGCCUACGUGGUAGAUGGCCGGGAUAACGGCCAGGAAGGGACCUGGUGUAAACUGUAAUGGGAACAGAAGUGGGCCCUAAUAGUUUCGUACUACUAUAGUCUUUGCGUUGUGAUGGGUCGUCUCGUGUCCUUAGCUCUGAAUAAGAAAGGAGUGACGUGAUGUAUAUGUAACCAAAAUAUAAAGACGAACAUGGUUAUGCGCAUUUAGGCCAAAACUCCUACGCGGCGUACAAUUUGGUUUGCGUGUCUGUUCGAAUCAAAACGAAUAGAAACGUACGCCGCAUAUUAGAGUUGACUGAAGUCAAACUUUAUAAAGUUUUGACCAAAUUUAUAAAAUAUAUAUAUAAAUAUAAAUAUUUAGCAUAACAAAUCUAUAUGAUGUGGAAGUCAUUCAACAACGAAUAUAAUGGUAUUAAUUUGUUAUUGUAUAUGUUAAUAUUUUUGCCUAUAAACUUUGUUAAAGUUUGUAAAGCUUGACUUUGAGCAAAACUAAUAUGCGAAGUAAAUAAAAACGGAGGGAGUACUUACAUUGCGUUUCUUUGGUGUCCGUCCAAACACAUUUUCAGUUCAAAUUUGUGUCAGAUUUGCGUCCACGAGUCCGCUAGGUGUUCGCCUUGGGAUCGUGCUUUGACCAUCCAACGUGUUCGGAUAUGGGUUCGAAACGAUGAACGUUCAAACAUGGACGUGUUAACAUGGGAAGGCUUGACAAAAAGAAAAAGCGGAGCGGGGAACCACCUUUUUUUUAUAGAAUUUUUUUUAAUUUUGAAAACAACCAUAGCUCUUUUUAGAUAUAAUACGCAUAUAUAGGAGAGAAGAUUGCAUCCGGAAUCGUGUCUAUUUUAUACUUUUUUUACACGAAUCCGAAAUUGUGUCUAUUUUAGAGUGUGCAAUACUUAUAGCACAUCUAAAUGUGUUUUAGCAAACAGUUUGACUAAUUCACAUCUAGAUGUUUUUUAAGGAUGUCAUAUCUAAGUUCUUACAAAUAUAUAAUGCAGCAACAAAAAACAAAAAAAUAAAACAAAAAAAUAAACCACGAACUGAAUGGACAACAGCUUAGACGUGACAUAACUAUGUCACAUCUUGAUGUGUCCUAGACAGACCCUUUAGCAAAACUGUAUUUUAUAUUUUGUCGGGAAUCCGAUAUCGUGUCUCAGCGGAUCUGAUUCUCUUCAAACUUGGUAUCCAAACAAUCCGUCUAUAAAUAAAGGAGAUAACCUGACGUGCUGUUACACCGUAGAACAGAAUAGGCUGCGGGGAUUUGUGCAAGCAAACAAUAAAUCCACAACCACGCAUAGAGGCUUGCGGGGGGAUUCGGGGAAGCAAGCUCUUGAAGGAGAGAUGGGGGAGAUCCAUCGAGGCAGCAGAUGGGGGAGAAAGGCCGCCGUCGCCGGCGCCCAUCACAGAAAAGAGCGGCGCGAUGAGACGGAGGCGCAGAGGGUAGAGCGGCUGCAGCUGCAGGCAACUCUGGCGUUUGUGAAGGCGGCGCACGCGGACACCAUGCUUUACCUUGACAUGGAGGAGUACCGGAGGGCGGGCAAGCUCCACACUUACGACGAGGCCAAGGAGUGGUAGAAGCGUCUCGCCAGGGUCGCCAAACUCUACCCGCCUCCCAAGCACAUCAUGGAAAAGAUCAGUGAAUAUACCAAGUACCUCGAGGAAGACGAGGACGACUUCAGGAUAGGCCUUUGUCAAUUGAUCGAGGUGAAAUCAGAUUUCGAGAAAUCCUUUUAGUGAGCGACGCUCCGCGCGGAGUGGUGUUCGUCCUUCUCUUGGCAUCGUGGUUCGUAUUUGUCGUGCGGUUGUUUUUUACGCGUGAUUGUAUGUAUGGUACACUCUUGUCGUAUUUGCGCUGUUUAUGUUAGAAGGGAGAGAGGGAUUUGGUGGAAUAGUUGUUGUAUUGCUUGAGCCUCGUGGGCAUAUAUAUAGAAGUACAAUGAUCUACUUAGAGCACAAGACAAGGCAGAACAAAUCCUAGUCUAUCUCGUCUUUCCUAAUACAAUCACGUUACUCAACAUCCCCCGCAGUCACAACGGUAGCNNNNNNNNNNNNNNNNNNNNNNNNNNNNNNNNNNNNNNNNNNNNNNNNNNNNNNNNNNNNNNNNNNNNNNNNNNNNNNNNNNNNNNNNNNNNNNNNNNNNNNNNNNNNNNNNNNNNNNNNNNNNNNNNNNNNNNNNNNNNNNNNNNNNNNNNNNNNNNNNNNNNNNNNNNNNNNNNNNNNNNNNNNNNNNNNNNNNNNNNNNNNNNNNNNNNNNNNNNNNNNNNNNNNNNNNNNNNNNNNNNNNNNNNNNNNNNNNNNNNNNNNNNNNNNNNNNNNNNNNNNNNNNNNNNNNNNNNNNNNNNNNNNNNNNNNNNNNNNNNNNNNNNNNNNNNNNNNNNNNNNNNNNNNNNNNNNNNNNNNNNNNNNNNNNNNNNAGAGUCGUGGCUGGAGUGGAAACCGACGAGGUUGCUCAAGCAAGGCGGUAGCCCUUUGUGCCGUUUGUCGAGGUAGCCGAGAGCGUAUGGUGGUGGAGCCGUGGUCGAGGUAGCCGUGCGAAGAAUGCCGUGGUCGAUGUCGAGUCGGGGAAGCCGGUGUCGAGGAAGUCGCCGUGGAGCCACGGGCGCAAGGGGCGCCGAGUUAGUCAUAGGCACAGUAGUGUCGAAGUAGUGGUGCGCCGGGGAGAAGACGUUGUUGACGACACGUCGUGCCGGAGUUGCCAAGCCCGAGGACAUAUCGUAGACGAAGGCACGCACCGGUGUUGCCAGCACCGGGCAUGCGUAGACGGACGAAGACGAAGUUGACGAAGCGCCGCACCAGGCUUGCCAGGCCGGGGACACGUCGUGGACGAAGGCACGCUUCGGUGUUGCCAGCACCGGGCAUGCGUAGACUGGGACCUGCACGAGCUGUACGCCAUGUCGAAGAAGUCGGAGAAGCCAGCAGAGAAGAACUCGACGACGGUUGCGGCGCCAAUCGGCGUGGGGCCGAUGUUGCACCCGCGGUUGUCGGAGUAGACGAAGUGGUCGAGGUAGAUGACGGCGACGCUGGCGACAGGCUGGUGCUGGAUGAAGACGAAGGAGGUGGACGGGCGUCGGCGGCGACUACAGGGGUAGCAGCGGCGGCAGGCAAAGAAGAGCGGCGGCGGCGGCUAGGUUAGGAGUGCGGCGGCGGUGCUCGAAGUAGGCGAAGAACCCUGACAGCGUGACGAAGACCGGCGCGGACGGUGGCGUUCCCGCGCCAAGGGAGACGGCGCCGCGCAUACCACAGGAGGUCGACGCGCGGUGACGGCGGAGUGGACCGCAUGCCGCGAUGCUACGGUCCGAAGACGACGUAGUGGUGGCGGGCAGGUCGGGGCGAAGGCGGGAAGACCUGGGGCGACGGCGGGGACCGAGGGUCGUGACGCUGCGGCCCGAAGGGGCGACGCAAUGGCGGCGGGCGAGUCGGUGCAGCCGUGGGGACGGCCUCGGGCGGCGGCGGAGACCGCGUGCCACGCUCGCUACGGCCCGAUGGGGACGCAGUGGGAGCGCGAGGGUCGGUGCAGCCAGCGAGACGGCCUGGAACGGACGUACUCGGGGCGGCGGUAGACCGUGGGUCGCGGCACUACGACCCAAAGUGGCGACGCAGCGGUAGCACGCGGGGCAAUGCAGCCGUGGGAAGAACCACGGGGCGGCGGCGCUGCGGCCCGACGGGGCGACGCAGCGGCAGCCCGAUGCUCGAUCGGUGGAGAGGCGCGCUGAACUCGGGGACGAUCUUCACGGGCCCUGCGAAGGCGCGCGCAACCGACGGGCCAGGUCGGUCAUACGGCAUAAAUGAGGCGGAUCGCGGCGGCGGGCGGGUGAUUAAUCCGAUCGCGCGCGAGGUCGGGGACGACGCUCGGUGGAGGCGCGGUGGCGGCAGAGUCCGAGAUGAAGCCGGCGACAGCGUGCGGCAGGGCGGCUAUGAUUGGCCGCCGCAUGGCGCGAAGCUGCCGGGUCGGGGUGAUGCAUGAGUCCCGGUCGGAGCAGGGCGGUGACUGCCGUCGUAGAUCGACGGGCGGGCCGGCGCGCGAACGACGGAGGUGAAGGGCCGCCGCAUGACGCGAAGCCGCCGGGUCGGGGCGACCGGCGGGCAGACGCGCGGACAACGUGCGAGGCCGCCGGGUCGGUGAAGAAGCCGGCCGAUCGUGCCGGUGUUGGAGUAGAGGCGCACGGGGUCGAUGACGGCGUUGGGCGACACAAACCAAUCAAGAUUAGAUCGAAAAACCAAAAAGAAACCGCCGAUCAAGAUGACCGAUGGGAGAGAGAAAACCCCGGAGCAAGGGCUCGGGAAAAAGACUCUCUAGGGCAGACGGUCUACACGGCCGGCGGGCGAACCCUAGGUACGGGCGGCGCGGCCCCCGACGACGGUCAUGGAGGCCGAACGCCCCAGGGGCGGCGCGCGGGUGCGGAAGCGGCAGCGGCUAGGGUUUAGGAUCGAUUAGGCUGAUACCAUGUUAAAAGGGAGAGAAAAAUUUGAUGAAAUAAUUGUUGUAUUGCUUGAGUUUCGUAGGCAUAUAUAUAAAAGUACAAUGAUCUACUUAGAGUACAAGACAAGCCAGAACAAAUCCUAAUCUAUCUCAUCUUUCCUAAUACAAUCCGUUACUCAACAGUUUAUUAGGUUUGUAUUUGUCCUAUCUAUAUGUCGGUUGGUUUCCUCUUUAAUAUUGUUAUAUGAGAAGAUUCUUUCAUGUGUUUACGUAUUUUUAUCUCCUAAUAAGAUGUGCUUCCAACGAUUUUGCCAAUCUCUGUUUACUAGUAGGCUUGCAACGACGCACGUCUCAAUUAAUGCAAAUAUAUACACUAAAUAAGUCUUUCUUUCUAUAUUCUGAAGUUAUAUGUACAAUAAUAUUGUCUCCGGAAUUUUUUAAAUAUCUUCUUUAUUUGUGUAAAACAAAUAGCAGUAAAAACAUUCUAAUCCAUUGCAAGGAUAUAUCUCACAUAAUUUUUUUUGAAACGGAGGCAAAAGUUUUACCUCAUCGAUUAAUUAAGAAGAAGAGAAUUGCCCAGUUAAUUAAAGGAAAACCGAGCAAAAACCAAUACAAACGGAGCACAGACUAACUAUUCACAUGGCAAGAAAACCUCACAACUGCACAGGCGGCCCCGCUAGACUCUCCGAUUACACAACAUCCACAAACCUCGACAUUGCUACUACGCAGUGUGACCCCAAACAAGAACACCUCCACAUAAGACAUCAAACACCUUCCAACCCAUAACGACAACCCAAUCCAAGAGGAUGGGCCGAGAGAAUGAAGAUCAUCCAUCAAAUAGCCAGAGACACCUUGCCUAUGGCGCCACUCUUGCCUUUUCCCACCUUCUUUUGUUUGCCUCUUAUUGGUGUCUCCGUCAGAAGGCAAGCAAUCGACCUGCCCAAACCAAAUCUAGCAACCUUCACACUGGCGAGCAAAUCACAAAGUUCUUUCGCGAACGGAGCAUCUGGAUUUGGAGUAAGUGCAACCACACUUGGCUCAUUGGUCAUGUCACUCACAGGCAUCACAUGCUCGAUGGUCGCAGACGAGGGAAUGAUAGAGACUGCAACGUCCAAAUCACCACACACCUUGGCAUCAGGUAUUUGGCUAGACUCCNNNNNNNNNNNNNNNNNNNNNNNNNNNNNNNNNNNNNNNNNNNNNNNNNNNNNNNNNNNNNNNNNNNNNNNNNNNNNNNNNNNNNNNNNNNNNNNNNNNNNNNNNNNNNNNNNNNNNNNNNNNNNNNNNNNNNNNNNNNNNNNNNNNNNNNNNNNNNNNNNNNNNNNNNNNNNNNNNNNNNNNNNNNNNNNNNNNNNNNNNNNNNNNNNNNNNNNNNNNNNNNNNNNNNNNNNNNNNNNNNNNNNNNNNNNNNNNNNNNNNNNNNNNNNNNNNNNNNNNNNNNNNNNNNNNNNNNNNNUUGUUUGACGGACAGAGGCAGAACCGGGCCCGCACACAACUCCUACAACUCAGGCAUGAUCUGCAGCACCGGAGUCACGACCACAUCAUUGUCCAGUCCCUCAGAGGCUGACGACGGCGAACAUGCUCUAACACGAGGGGAGAAACGACCAUGAAGCUCGGCACCCAUCCCGACCUCGAACAUAUCUCACAUAAUGAAAUGGGUUUACAUGGCGUAUAAGAAGAAUUUUGAAUUGAACCAGAAGCACGAUCCUGAGAAUAAAUACUCUCCACCUCUUAUGAGGUUACAUUACAAAGUGGCAGCGGCAUACUGAAUGACAAUAUAUCAUGCCUCGUAAGAAAGAAUUUUACAAACUUACUCAUGACUCAUGACAUGGGUUGAAACUUCUAAUAAUCCAAAACAAAAACAAGACAAUCGUUUAUUUGUCUGCAGAUAACAAGGCUGGUGACAUUUCCAUUAUGCCCGGCAACCAACAUGUAUCUCUCUGCAUCUGCUGUAUCCAUCCUUCUUCAGGACUUACGAUCAACAAAUAAUGUAUUCUCUGCAUCAAGGAUGGUUGUUGCCUAAUUAGGAAUCUGUUCCUUGUGCUCUCCAAUUGUUCUUAGCCUUCUUGGCAUAUUGCCGUUGUUGCAGUAGCCCACCUAUAACCAUCUUCUACUAGGAGGGGACAAUGCCAUUAAAUUAGAAAAAAUCAGAUUUUUUUUAUAAUGCAUCAACUUCAUUAUGAUAUAAACGCCAAUUUUUAGGCACAUUCGUAAACAAACACACACCCGAUGUUGAAGAAACAUACCAUGCCUAACUUGAGAAAUCACAAUAACUGAACCAUUAAAAAAAGGACAACGCUAACGCCCACACGUGUGGUGGGAGCCAAACCCGCCCACACGCCCUAUAGCACACAGACUGCGCCAUGUCACCGUAUGCAUGCAUGUGGAAAUCUUUUUGGAUUUUCUGUUUUUAAAAUAUUUUAUCUCUUAAAUGAAAAAUCCGAUUGAAGAUCCGUUUUCGCCAUUAAAUCCCUCGUGACGAGAUCUUCGAAACUAGAUCUCAUAUCAAUAUAUUUCGACGAAAUUUUUUUGGGUUAAAAGUUGCCGUGUCUAUUGCACAUGAAUUGCCAUGAUGUUUACACUGAAGUUGGCAUGAUAUGUUUCAGCUAUUUUCUUCUACAUUUAAAAGUAAAUUUUGACAUAUUAUAAAACGGGGAAUUAAGAAACUAAACUUGCCAUGCACAAUAAAUUAAAAUUGCCAUGAUACAUGCACUUAAAAUUGCCAUGGUUCAUACAAAAAAUAUUUUCAUGGUCAAAGUACUGGAAUUGCCAUUAUCGAAAAACUAAAAUUGUCAUGAUCUACAAACUAAAAUUGCCACAUGGCAACUUUAGUUUAAGCACUAUGGCAACUACAGUGUAAACAUCAUGGCAACUUUUGGAGAAAUUUUUUUUCGUCGAAACAUAUCUACGUGAGGUCUAGUUUUGAAGAUCUCGUCGAGACGGAUUUAAUGGUGAAAAUGGAUUUUUAACUCGCUUUUUAAUUAGGAGAUAAAACAUUUUUAAGCCGAAAACCAAAAAGAUUUCUGCUGAUGUCAUCUGUUUAUACGUGGCAAAAUGAGUGGUGAUGGAGGUGUAUGGGCGAUGUGCAAACGCCCACACGUGUGGGCGUUAAUUUUUCCGUAAAAAAAUCAUUUAAGAUAGGAUUGCAUGAGCAGUGCCACCGUAACCGCUAUUAUCUUUCUCUAAUGAAUUAAGGAAAGCUAACAAGUUCAUAUACUAAGGGACAUUAUCCUGCAAAAUAGUACUCCCUCCGUCCCAUAAUAUAAGAACGUUUUUGACACUACAUUAGUGUCAAAAACGUUCUUAUAUUUUGGGACAGAGGGAUUAAGAUUUAGCAUGGUAUUUUGUGGUACAGAAGUAACAGUACAGAGCAGAUUUGUUGAUAGGUAUCUUCAUGGGGGAACUCAUAAGCAACACUAAAUAGUGCUUGAGCUGUUGCAGAUGUUUUAAAGCUGACUAUUGAUGAUAAUCAACUAUAACUGCUACCGAAACAAUGUGUGAUAUACGCUCAAUGUCCCGUGUAAUGGCAGAGAGAUCGGCCUUAAAUAGAAAGCAUAUAUUAAGAGCUGAGCUAAGGCCUAUAGCAUCAAGGGAAUAAUUGAAAAGGAAUGAGAACGUACUUAAAAAAGAAAUCACCAGUUGACGGUAGCUGACAGACCCGAAAUUGCAAUUUGAUCAAAAUCUCAGGAAACAUGAGGCUUAAUAUUGCACAGUGUCUAGUAGGCUUAAUAUUAUAAAUGACACAAAAUUUGUUCGACAUAACUCUUAGCAUGAGCUCAUUGGCAACUCCCCUUAAGCUAGGACAAAAUAAUGGGUGAAAUUAAAAUUAAAGAUUGGAAGCAGUCUUCAACGCCUUCAACAUGUUGAGGCCCUACACAUCCUACAAAAAUGGGAGAUGCAAAACCAAAAAAAUAUUGCUAUUUUUCAGAAAAUAUUUAGUUAGGAUAUGAAACACCCAUGAAAUUUAAACCAAUAAACCAAACAUGGAAGUUGAAAGAGAAACUUAAAUGAGAAGUGACUGUAGUGCUUCUACAAACCCAUUCAUACGAUGCCUAUUCAGGAGUCAGGACAGAAGUGGAUUGGGUAUAUGCAUCAUCCUGAUGUCUGAGUGUGAAAUGUUGUGUAUCUAAGAGAUAAUAAAAUCGUUACUUCCUUAGCCAUAAACCGAAUAAAUCACAGAACAUAUCGGAAUCACCAUGAACUAGCACAGGAUUGAUAAGUGGCCAUAUCAAGAUCACACCUUUAACCCCAGAAUCAAUCAUGACAAGUAGCGACUUAGUGCAGCAGCCCAGUGGAAGAUUAUAUCAAACAAUUUGAUCCAAAUAAAUUAAGAAUCUUCUGCUUGUCAAUGUUCAGCCUCGUCGGAGUGGGGCGAGUGAUGGCGGCGGCGGUCGCGCCGAGUAUCACUUAUCAAUCCUGUGCCGGCUGGGCGUCUCCGGCCGGUGGUUCUCCUACAUCCGGCACGCCUGCUGGCUCGCAUUCGCCCUCGCCCGCGCUGGCGACACCGAUGGGGGAGGCUAGAGCGCCGGGUACGACGCUCGUGCUCUUGCCCUCCAGCCCGAUGGCCUCCCAUCCUGACCCUUCGCAUCUGGAGCCGCCCUCCGCUGCUGUCACCGCGCUGGAAGGAGUGGACGCACCGACGACCGCCGACCAGCCUGCGAUGGAUGCGCCAAGUACUGAAGACCCGCUGCCCCUGCCGACUGUGACGGCCCCUGAUGUGCCCAGGACGGCGCCUCCGCUCAUGCCGCCACGCCGUCCGGCCGGCGGCAAGCGCGCUAGGUCGACCUCCACGCCGGUGACUGCUACGCGCCGGAGUGCGCGACUCGACGCGGCGAUGCCACCUGGGACACCGACUCCGUCCAUUCCAGAGAGGGCGGAGCGUAGGGCUGCAGCUCGUUUCCUGAGCUAGGUACCUCAUCCAUCUCGCCCCAGAUUUCCCAGUAUGAUUUUUCUGCAUUGGAAUCGGCCCCGCUGGGCAAUCUGGCCGUGGUGGCCAACGACUCAGGGAUCGUUUUCAGGGGGGAGAGGGGUUCCCCUUCAGAUUGCCGCAAUUCAGGCAAAGGAGAUUCUUUUUUUUUUUGAGGGGUUCAGGCAAAGGAGAUUCUGGACGGGAAGUUGGCUGCAGCUGCGGCGCAGCUCUCUCAGGCCUCGGCGACUACAACACCAUCCAUGGGUCCUGGGCCCACCAACACCGCACCCCGCGGUCGGACUCGCUCCCGCACCUUUGCGAUACGCCGGGCCCAUUGUUCCAGGGUUAGGAACCCCAGACCCGGUUUCUUAAUGCGGAUGCUUUUUUGGAAUAUCCACGGCUUGGGCGAAACCGGCCGCCGCCGACAACUCAUCGAAUAAACGUGAGAUGAUAGGAUUGAUAUUGUCGCCAUCCAAGAAACGAUGUGAACCGGGUUCUCCCUCUCCGGGCUAGAUCCCCUUAGUCCUCACCUCUUCGCGUGGCACUGGCUCCCUUCUAGUGGGAUCACAGGGCACUCCGGAGGCAUCCUUCAUGGAGUGAAGGACGCGACCUUUGAGGUUGGGAGUAUGGACCGAUGCGAGUUCUAUGUGAGCAUGGAAGUAUUCAAACUGCUGAUCAACUUCAAGUGGGAGAUCAUCACCGUGUAUGGCCCAGCGGACCAUAGCCGCUCUAGCUCCUUUCUCGAGGAAUUACACAUGAGAUAGCUAAUGCCCAGCUCCCGGUGGUGGUGGGAGGGGACAUCAACCUCAUCUGCCACCCAGACGACAAAAAUAACAAUCGUGUCAAUUUUCCUCGGAUGCAACUCUUCAAUGAUUUCAUUGCAGAGCUUGGCCUCCGCGAGAUUGACCGCAUUCGCGCUCGGUUCACCUGGACGAACAAACAGGCUGACUCAACCCAAUCUGUGUUAGAUCAAGUAUUCAUGUCCACAGAAUGGGAACUUCGAUCCCCUCUGGCCUCCCUCCGAGCUAUUACGUGGAUUGGUUCUGACCAUGUACCACUCCUUCUCUCCUCCAUCAAACGGCCUCGCCCCCCGCCUAGGUUUCGCUUCGAAAACUUCUGGCUGGCUCGGCGGGGCUUUAUCGCCACGGUACAUGAGCGUUGGUCUGUCGCUAGGACGGAACCACACGAGCAACGAGCAGGUGGCGGAGGCGGAGGUGGUGCUUCGGGAGGACCAGGUGGCCGGCGCGUCGUGGCGGAUGCACCAGGUGUACAACUACGGCACCAGCAACGGCGGCUGCUACUUGAGGAACGUGACCAGCGUUGGCUACGACAUGCUUUUCGACCAUAAUGUGGCGUCGUGCGCCAGGACGCGCCGACGUUGACGCCUGUUGGCCGGCGCCCGCCUACGUGGCGCGCGCGAGUAGAUGGCCGUGAUAACGGUCAGGAAGGGACCUGGUGUAAACUGUAAUGGGAACAUAAGUGGGCCCUAAUAGUUUCGUACUACUAUAGUCUUUGCGUUGUCAUGGGUCGUCUCGUGUCCUUAGCUCUGAAUAAGAAAUGAGUGAUGUGAUGUAUGUAAUCCCUAACUGCAAUUAGAGUUCAUUAUGUGUUUAAUCCCUUUCUUUUCGAACUUAUGUCUUCUGAAUUUGCUAAUCAGAAUUAGUUAUUUCUCAAUUGAUAUCAGUUAGUAUGUCUUCAAUAGAUGACGUAAAAUCACUACUGCAGGAUGCUGCUAACGCGACACUAUGAUCAAAGACCCUUCGACGAAACUGUGUGCGAUGCCAUAAUCGUAAAUGGUGGUGUAAAAACCCAUCAAAAAUUGUGCAAAACGUUUGCGAUGGAGGAUGCAUCAAACACGGUUCAGAUUUUAGUUGCGUGUGCGAUGCGGCGCAUACGGUUCAGCUCAAUUAACUAUUUGCGAUGAGGAGGAACAAAAGAAACGGGAAGCCAGAUGAAGGUGUGCGAUACACAGCAUACGGUUCACUCGGAUGAACUGUUUGUGAUUAGGCAACACAAAAGAAAUGGUCAGCCAGAUCAAGGUGUCUGCGAUAUACGGCAUACGGUUCACUCAGAUGAACUGUUUGCGUUGAGACAAAAGAACAAAAACGGUUCAAUAUAACAAGAUGUGUGUGAUACACGGAAAACAGGUCUGUAAUCAGAAAUGUGUGCGAAGACCGAUAAUAACACAGACGAUUGCUUCUAAUAAGACGUAUGUGAUAUGCUCUGUCUACACAACAUCUAUUGGCCAUUGGGGGACGGGCGGUCAUCCGGAUACGCCAUAAGGAUGCGAAGAGGCAUCCUAUAUCAGCAAGGACUAGCUAUUUGUUUUUUUAUUUUUUUUAUUUUUUAACACAUGUUAAAGAAGGACUACCGCAUUACUUUUUGACAAUGUGCGAUACGUGGCAUAUGCUACCUCUUGAGCACUGCGUUGGUUUUCCCUUGAAGAGCAAAGGGUGAUGCAGUAAAGUAGCGUAAGUAUUUCCCUCAGUUUUUGAGAACAAGGUAUCAAUCCAGUAGGAGGCCACACUCAAGUCCCUUGCACCUACACAAACAAAUAAAAACCUCGCAACCAAUGCAAUAAAGGGGUUGUCAAUCCCUUCACGGCCACUUACGAAAGUGAGAUCUGAUAGAUAUGAUAAGAUAAUAUUUUUGGUAUUUUUAUAAUAAAGAUGCAAAGUAAAAUAAAGCAAAAUAAACGGCGCCAGAAAUAGCUAAGUGUUGGAAGAUUAAUAUGAUGGAAAAUAGACCCCGGGGCCAUAGGUUUCACUAGUGGCUUUUCUCAAUAGCAUAAGUAUUACGGUGGGUGAACAAAUUACUGUUGAGCAAUUGAUAGAAUUGAGCAUAGUUAUGAGAAUAUCUAGUUAUGAUCAUGUAUACAGGCAUCACGUCUGUGACAAAUAGACCGACUCCUGCCUGCAUCUACUACUAUUACUCCACACAUCGACCGCUAUCCAGCAUGCAUAUAGAGUAUUAAGUGUUGGGGAUCGUAGCAGAAUUUUAAAAUUUUCUACGCAUCACCAAGAUCCAUCUAUGGAGUUUACUAGCAACGAGAAGGAAGGAGUGCAUCUACAUACCCUUGUAGAUCGCGAGCGGAAGCGUUCAAGUGAACGGGGUUGAUGGAGUCGUACUCGUCGUGAUCCAAAUCACCGAUGACUGAGCGCCGAACGGACGGCACUUCCGCGUUCAACACACGUAUGGAGCAGCGACGUCUCCUCCUUCUUGAUCCAGCAAGGGGGAAGGAGAGGUUGAUGGAGAUCCAGCAGCACGACGGCGUGGUGGUGGAAGUAGCGGGGAUCCCGGCAGGGCUUCGCCAAGCGCAAGCGGGAGGGAGAGGUGUCACGGGAGGGAGAGGGAGGCGCCAGGGGCUAGGGUACUGCUGCCCUCCCUCCACCCCACUAUAUAUAGGGGUCCUGGGGGGGCGGCGGCCCCCUGGAGAUCCCAUCUGAGGGGGGCGGCGGCCAAGGGGGUGGCUUGCCCCCCAAGCCAAGUGGGGCGCCCCCCCACCCCCAGGGUUUCCAACCCUAGGCGCAGGGGAGGCCCAAGGGGGGCGCACCAGCCCACCAGUGGCUGGUUCCCCUCCCCACUUCAGCCCAUGGGGCCCUCCGGGACAGGUGGCCCCACCCGGUGGACCCCCGGGACCCUUCCGGUGGUCCCGGUACAAUACCGAUAACCCCCGAAACUUUCCCGGUGGCCGAAACUGGACUUCCUAUAUAUAAUUCUUCACCUCCGGACCAUUCCGGAACUCCUUGUGACGUCUGGGUCUCAUCCUAGACUCCGAACAACUUUCGGGUUUCCGCAUACUAAUAUCUCUACAACCCUAGCGUCACCGAACCUUAAGUGUGUAGACCCUACGGGUUCGGGAGACAUGCAGACAUGACCGAGACGACUCUCCGGUCAAUAACCAACAGCGGGAUCUGGAUACCCAUGUUGGCUCCCACAUGUUCCACGAUGAUCUCAUCGGAUGAACCACGAUGUCGAGGAUUCAAUCAAUCCCGUAUACAAUUCCCUUUGUCAAUCGGUACGUUACUUGCCCGAGAUUCGAUCGUCGGUAUCCCAAUACCUUGUUCAAUCUCGUUACCGGCAAGUCACUUUACUCGUACCGUAAUGCAUUAUCCCGUGACCAGACACUUGGUCACAUUGAGCUCAUUAUGAUGAUGCAUUACCGAGUGGGCCCAGAGAUACCUCUCCGUCACACGGAGUGACAAAUCCCAGUCUUGAUCCGUGCCGACCCAACAGACACUUUCGGAGAUACCCGUAGUGCACCUUUAUAGUCACCUAGUUACGUUGUGACGUUUGGCACACCCAAAGCACUCCUACGGCAUCCGGGAGUUGCACGAUCUCAUGGUCUAAGGAAAUGAUACUUGACAUUGGAAAAGCUCUAGCAAACGAACUACACGAUCUCUGUGCUAUGCUUAGGAUUGGGUCUUGUCCAUCACAUCAUUCUCCUAAUGAUGUGAUCCCGUUAUCAAUGACAUCCAAUGUCCAUAGUCAGGAAACCAUGAUUAUCUGUUGAUCAACGAGCUAGUCAACUAGAGGCUCACUAGGGACAUGUUGUGGUCUAUGUAUUCACACAUGUAUUACAAUUUCCGGAUAACACAAUUAUAGCAUGAACAAUAGACAAUUAUCAUGAACAAGGAAAUAUAAUAAUAACCAUUGUAUUAUUGCCUCUAGGGCAUAUUCCAACAGUCUCCCACUUGCACUAGAGUCAAUAAUCUAGUUACAUUGUGAUGAAUCGAACACCCAUAGAGUUCUGGUGUUGAUCAUGUUUUGCUCUAGGGAGAGGUUUAGUCAACGGAUCUGCUACAUUCAGGUCCGUAUGUACUUUACAAAUAUCUAUGUCUCCAUUUUGAACACUUUCACGAAUGGAGUUGAAGCGACGCUUGAUAUGCCUGGUCUUCUUGUGAAACCUGGGCUCCUUGGCAAGGGCAAUAGCUCCAGUGUUGUCACAGAAGAGAGUCAUCGGGCCCGACGCAUUGGGAAUCACCCCUAGUUCGGUAAUGAACUCCUUCAUCCAGAUUGCUUCUUGCGCUGCCUCUGAGGCCGCCAUGUACUCUGCUUCACAUGUAGAUCCCGCCACGACGCUUUGCUUGCAACUGCACCAGCUUACUGCCCCUCCAUUCAAAAUAUACACGUAUCCGGUUUGUGACUUAGAGUCAUCCAGAUCUGUGUCAAAGCUAGCGUCGACGUAACCCUUUACGACGAGCUCUUCGUCACCUCCAUAAAUGAGAAACAUAUCCUUAGUCCUCUUCAGGUACUUCAGGAUAUUCUUGACCGCUGUCCAGUGUUCCAUGCCGGGAUUACUUUGGUACCUUCCUACCAAACUUACGGCAAGGUUUACAUCAGGUCUGGUACACAGCAUGGCAUACAUAAUAGACCCUAUGGCCGAGGCAUAGGGGAUGACACUCAUCUUUUCUCUAUCUUCUGCCGUGGUCGGGCAUUGAGCCGUGCUCAAUUGCACACCUUGCAAUACAGGCAAGAACCCCUUCUUGGACUGAUCCAUAUUGAACUUCUUCAAUAUCUUGUCAAGGUACGUACUCUGUGAAAGACCAAUGAGGCGUCUUGAUCUAUCUCUAUAGAUCUUGAUGCCUAAUAUAUAAGCAGCUUCUCCAAGGUCCUUCAUUCAAAAACACUUAUUCAAGUAGGCCUUUAUACUUUCCAAGAAUUCUAUAUCAUUUCCCAUCAAUAGUAUGUCAUCCACAUAUAAUAAGAGAAAUGCUACAGAGCUCCCACUCACUUUCUUGUAAACACAGGCUUCUCCAUAAGUCUGUGUAAACCCAAACGCUUUGAUCAUCUCAUCAAAUCGAAUGUUCCAACUCCGAGAUGCUUGCACCAGCCCAUAGAUGGAGCGCUGGAGCUUGCAUACCUUGUUAGCAUUCUUAGGAUCGACAAAACCUUCCGGCUGCAUCAUAUACAAUUCUUCCUUAAGAAAGCCGUUAAGGAAUGCCGUUUUGACGUCCAUUUGCCAUAUCUCAUAAUCAUAGAAUGCGGCAAUUGCUAACAUGAUUCGGACGGACUUCAGCUUCGCUACGGGUGAGAAAGUCUCAUCGUAGUCAACCCCUUGAACUUGUCGAUAACCCUUAGCGACAAGUCGAGCCUUAUAGAUGGUCACGUUACCAUCCGCGUCUGUCUUCUUCUUAAAGAUCCAUUUAUUUUCUAUGGCUCGCCGAUCAUCGGGCAAGUCAGUCAAAGUCCAUACUUCGUUUUCAUACAUGGAUCCUAUCUCGGAUUGCAUGGCUUCAAGCCAUUUGUUGGAAUCCGGGCCUGCCAUCACUUCUUCAUAGUUCGAAGGUUCACCGUUGUCUAACAACAUGAUUUCCAGGACAGGGUUGCCGUACCACUCUGGUGCGGAACGUGUCCUUGUGGACCUACGAAGUUCAGCGGUAACUUGAUCCGAAGCUUCAUGAUCAUCAUCAUUAACUUCCUCCCCAGUCAGUGUAGGCACCACAGGAACAUCUUCCCGCGCUGCGCUACUUUCCGGUUCGGAAGGGGUGACUAUCACCUCAUCAAGUUCCACUUUCCUCCCACUCACUUCUUUCGAGAGAAACUCUUUCUCCAGAAAGGACCCGUUCUUGGCAACAAAGAUCUUGCCUUCGGAUCUGAGGUAGAAGGUAUACCCAAUGGUUUCCUUAGGGUAUCCUAUGAAGACGCAUUUUUCCGAUUUGGGUUCGAGCUUUUCAGGUUGAAGUUUCUUGACAUAAGCAUCGCAUCCCCAAACUUUUAGAAACGACAGCUUAGGUUUCUUCCCAAACCAUAAUUCAUACGGUGUCGUCUCAACGGAUUUCGACGGAGCCCUAUUUAAAGUGAAUGCGGCAGUCUCUAAAGCAUAGCCCCAAAAUGAGAGCGGUAGAUCGGUAAGAGACAUCAUAGAUCGCACCAUAUCCAAUAGAGUGCGAUUACGACGUUCGGACACACCAUUUCGCUGAGGUGUUCCAGGCGGCGUGAGUUGUGAAACUAUUCCACAUUUCCUUAAGUGUGUGCCAAAUUCAUGACUUAAAUAUUCCCCUCCACGAUCUGAUCGUAGGGACUUUAUUUUCCUGUCACGUUGAUUCUCAACCUCACUCUGAAAUUCCUUGAACUUUUCAAAGGUCUCAGACUUGUGUUUCAUUAGGUAGACAUACCCAUAUCUACUUAAGUCAUCAGUGAGAGUGAGAACAUAACGAUAGCCACCGCGAGCCUCAACACUCAUUGGACCGCACACAUCAGUAUGUAUGAUUUCCAAUAAGUUGGUUGCUCGCUCCAUUGUUCCGGAGAACGGAGUCUUGGUCAUCUUACCCAUGAGGCAUGGUUCGCACGUGUCAAAUGAUUCGUAAUCAAGAGACUCCAAAAGUCCAUCUGCAUGGAGCUUCUUCAUGCGUUUGACACCAAUGUGACCAAGGCGGCAGUGCCACAAGUAUGUGGGACUAUCGUUAUCAACUUUACUUCUUUUGGUAUUCACACUAUGAAUAUGUGUAACAUCACGUUCGAGAUUCAUUAAAAAUAAACCAUUGACCAGCAGGGCAUGACCAUAAAACAUAUCUCUCAUAUAAAUAGAACAACCAUUAUUCUCGGAUUUAAAUGAGUAGCCAUCUCGAAUUAAACGAGAUCCUGAUACAAUGUUCAUGCUCAAAGCUGGCACUAAAUAACAAUUAUUGAGGUUUAAAACUAAUCCCGUAGGUAAAUGUAGAGGCAGCGUGCCGACGGCGAUCACAUCGACCUUGGAACCAUUCCCGACGCGCAUCGUCACCUCGUCCUUCGCCAGUCUCCGCUUAUUCCGCAGCUCCUGUUUUGAGUUACAAAUAUGAGCAACCGCACCGGUAUCAAAUACCCAGGAGCUACUACGAGUACUGGUAAGGUACACAUCAAUUACAUGUAUAUCACAUAUACCUUUGGUGUUGCCGGCCUUCUUGUCCGCUAAGUAUUUGGGGCAGUUCCGCUUCCAGUGACCACUUCCCUUGCAAUAAAAGCACUCAGUCUCAGGCUUGGGUCCAUUCUUUGACUUCUUCCCGGCAACUGGCUUACCGGGCGCGUCAACUCCCUUGCCGUCCUUCUUGAAGUUCUUCUUACCCUUGCCUUUCUUGAACUUAGUGGUUUUAUUCACCAUCAACACUUGAUGUUCCUUUUUGAUCUCCACCUCCGCUGAUUUCAGCAUUGAAUAUACCUCAGGAAUGGUCUUUUCCAUCCCCUGCAUAUUGAAGUUCAUCACAAAGCUCUUGUAGCUCGGUGGAAGCGACUGAAGGAUUCUGUCAAUGACCGCGUCAUCCGGGAGAUUAACUCCCAGCUGAGACAAGCGGUUGUGUAACCCAGACAUUUUGAGUAUGUGCUCACUGACAGAACUAUUUUCCUCCAUCUUACAACUGAAGAACUUGUCGGAGACUUCAUAUCUCUCGACUCGGGCAUGAGCUUGGAAAACCAUUGUCAGCUCUUCGAACAUCUCAUAUGCCCCGUGUUUCUCAAAACGCUUUUGGAGCCCCGGUUCUAAGCUGUAAAGCAUGCCGCACUGAACGAGGGAGUAAUCAUCAGCACGUGAUUGCCAAGCGUUCGUAACGUCUUGGUUCUCUGGGAUGGGUGCUUCACCUAGCGGUGCUUCUAGGACAUAAUCUUUCUUGGCAGCUAUGAGGAUGAUCCUCAGGUUCCGGACCCAGUCCGUAUAGUUGCUGCCAUCAUCUUUCAGCUUGGUUUUCUCUAGGAACGCGUUGAAGUUGAGGGCAACGUGGGACAUUUGAUCUACAAGACAUAUUGUAAAGAUUUUAGACUAAGUUCAUGAUAAUUAAGUUCAUCUAAUCAAAUUAUUCAAUGAACUCCCACUCAGAUAGACAUCCCUCUAGUGAUCUAAGUGAAACAUGAUCCGAGUCAACUAGGCCGUGUCCGAUCAUCACGUGAGACGGACUAGUCAAGAUCGGUGAACAUCUUCAUGUUGAUCGUAUCUUCUAUACGACUCAUGCUCGACCUUUCGGUCUUCCGUGUUCCGAGGCCAUGUCUGUACAUGCUAGGCUCGUCAAGUCAACCUAAGUGUAUUGCGUGUGUUCCGAGGCCAUGUCUGUACAUGCUAGGCUCGUCAACACCCGUUGUAUGCGAACGUUAGAAUCUAUCACACCCGAUCAUCACGUGGUGCUUCGAAAGAACGAACCUUCGCAACGGUGCACAGUUAGGGGGAACACUUUCUUGAAAUUAUUAUGAGGGAUCAUCUUACUUACUACCGUCGUACUAAGCAAAUAAGAUGUAAAACAUGAUAAACAUCACAUGCAAUCAAAUAGUGACAUGAUAUGGCCAAUACCAUUUUGCUCCUUUGAUCUCCAUCUUUGGGGCGCCAUGAUCAUCUUCGUCACCGGCAUGACACCAUGAUCUCCGUCAUCGUGUCUUCAUGAAGUUGUCACGCCAACGAUUACUUCUACUUCUAUGGCUAACGUGUUUAGCAAUAAAGUAAAGUAAUUUACAUGGCGUUAUUCAAUGACACGCAGGUCAUACAAAAAUAAAGACAACUCCUAUGGCUCCUGCCGGUUGUCAUACUCAUCGACAUGCAAGUCGUGAUUCCUAUUACAAGAACAUGAUCAUUCUCAUACAUCACAUAUAUCAUUCAUCACAUCUUCUGGCCAUAUCACAUCACAAGACACAUGCUGCAAAAACAAGUUAGACGUCCUCUAAUUGUUGUUGCAAGUUUUUACGCGGCUUCUAUAGGUUUCUAGCAAGAACGUUUCUUACCUACGUAAAACCACAACGUGAUAUGCCAAUUUCUAUUUACCCUUCAUAAGGACCCUUUUCAUCGAAUCCGUUCCGACUAAAGUGGGAGAGACAGACAGCCGCUAGCCACCUUAUGCAACUAGUGCAUGUCAGUCGGUGGAACCUGUCUCACGUAAGCGUACGUGUAAGGUCGGUCCGGGCCGCUUCAUCCCACAAUACCGCCGAAACAAGAUAAGACUAGUAGUGGCAAGAAAAAUAGACAACAUCUACGCCCACAACUGCUUUGUGUUCUACUCGUGCAUAGAAACUACGCAUAGGCCUGGCUCAUGAUGCCACUGUUGGGGAUCGUAGCAGAAUUUUAAAAUUUUCUACGCAUCACCAAGAUCCAUCUAUGGAGUUUACUAGCAACGAGAAGGAAGGAGUGCAUCUACAUACCCUUGUAGAUCGCGAGCGGAAGCGUUCAAGUGAACGGGGUUGAUGGAGUCGUACUCGUCGUGAUCCAAAUCACCGAUGACCGAGCGCCGAACGGACGGCACCUCCGCGUUCAACACACGUACGGAGCAGCGACGUCUCCUCCUUCUUGAUCCAGCAAGGGGGAAGGAGAGGUUGAUGGAGAUCCAGCAGCACGACGGCGUGGUGGUGGAAGUAGCGGGGAUCCCGGCAGGGCUUCGCCAAGCGCAAGCAGGAGGGAGAGGUGUCACGGGAGGGAGAGGGAGGCGCCAGGGGCUAGGGUACUGCUGCCCUCCCUCCCCCCACUAUAUAUAGGGGUCCUGGGGGGGGGGGCGCCGGCCCCCUGGAGAUCCCAUCUGAGGGGGGCGGCGGCCAAGGGGGUGGCUUGCCCCCCAAGCCAAGUGGGGCGCCCCCACCCCCAGGGUUUCCAACCCUAGGCGCAGGGGAGGCCCAAGGGGGGCGCACCAGCCCACCAGUGGCUGGUUCCCCUCCCCACUUCAGCCCAUGGGGCCCUCCGGGAUAGGUGGCCCCACCCGGUGGACCCCCGGGACCCUUCCGGUGGUCCCGGUACAAUACCGAUAACCCCCGAAACUUUCCCGGUGGCCGAAACUGGACUUCCUAUAUAUAAUUCUUCACCUCCGGACCAUUUCGGAACUCCUCGUGACGUCCGGGAUCUCAUCCGGGACUCCGAACAACUUUCGGGUUUCCGCAUACUAAUAUCUCUAUAACCCUAGCGUCACCGAACCUUAAGUGUGUAGACCCUACGGGUUCGGGAGACAUGCAGACAUGACCGAGACGACUCUCCGGUCAAUAACCAACAGCGGGAUCUGGAUACCCAUGUUGGCUCCCACAUGUUCCACGAUGAUCUCAUCGAAUGAACCACGAUGUCGAGGAUUCAAUCAAUCCCGUAUACAAUUCCCUUUGUCAAUCGGUACGUUACUUGCCCGAGAUUCGAUCGUCGGUAUCCGAAUACCUUGUUCAAUCUCGUUACUGGCAAGUCACUUUACUCGUACCGUAAUGCAUGAUCCCGUGACCAGACACUUGGUCACAUUGAGCUCAUUAUGAUGAUGCAUUACCGAGUGGGCCCAGAGAUACCUCUCCGUCACACGGAGUGACAAAUCCCAGUCUUGAUCCGUGCCAACCCAACAGACACUUUUGAAGAUACCCGUAGUGCACCUUUAUAGUCACCCAGUUACGUUGUAACGUUUGGCACACCCAAAGCACUCCUACGGCAUCCGGGAGUUGCACAAUCUCAUGGUCUAAGGAAAUGAUACCUGACAUUGGAAAAGCUCUAGCAAACGAACUACACGAUCUCUGUGCUAUGCUUAGGAUUGGGUCUUGUCCAUCACAUCAUUCUCCUAAUGAUGUGAUCCCGUUAUCAAUGACAUCCAAUGUCCAUAGUCAGGAAACCAUGACUAUAUGUUGAUCAACGAGCUAGUCAACUAGAGGCUCACUAGGGACAUGUUGUGGUCUAUGUAUUCACACAUGUAUUACGAUUUCCGGAUAACACAAUUAUAGCAUGAACAAUAGACAAUUAUCAUGAACAAGGAAAUAUAAUAACCAUUGUAUUAUUGCCUCUAGGGCAUAUUUCCAACAUUAAGUUCAAAAGAACAGAGUAACGCUUUAAGUAAGAUGACAUGAUGUAGAGGGAUAAACUCACGCAAUAUGAUAUAAACCCCAUCUUUUUAUCCUUGAUGGCAACAAUACAAUACGUGCCUUGCUGCCCCUGCUGUCACUGGGAAAGGACACCGGAAGAUUGAACCCAAAGCUAAGCACUUCUCCUAUUGCAAGAAAGAUCAAUCUAGUAGGCCAAACCAAACUAAUAAUUCGAAGAGACUUGCAAAGAUAACCAAUCAUACAUAAAAUAAUUCAGAGAAGAUUCAAAUAUUGUUCAUAGAUAAACUUGAUCAUAAACCCACAAUUCAUCGGUCUCAACAAACACACCGCAAAAGAAGAUUACAUCGAAUAGAUCUCCACGAGAAUUGUGGAGAACUUUCUAUUGAGAUCCAAAAAGAGAGAAGAAGCCAUCUAGCAAAUAACUAUGGACCAGAAGGUCUGAGGUAAACUACUCACACAUCAUCGGAGAGGCUAUGGUGUUGAUGUAGAAGCCCUCCGUGAUCAAUGCCCCCUCGGGCAGGACGCCGGAAAAGGCCCCAAGAUGGGAUCUCACGGGUACAGAAGGUUGCGGCGGUGUGAUAACCCACAAGUAUAGGGGAUCAAUUGUAGCCUUUUUCGAUAUGUAAGAGUCUCGAACCCAAUGAGGAGCUAAAGGUAGAACAAAUAUUCCCUCAAGUUCUAUCGAUCACCGAUACAACUCUACGCACACUUGACGUUCGCUUUACCGGAAACAAGUAUGAAACUAGAAGUACUUUAUAGGUGUUUUUGGAUAGGUUUGCAAGAAUAUAAAGAGAGCGUAAAUAAAAAGUAGGGGCUGUUUAGAUAAAGACACAACUAAAUUAGUUUUAGUAAAGAGCUUGUUGUCACGAGAAAGUUAUUUGUCCCUAGGCAAUCGAUAACUAGACCGGUAAUCAUUAUUGCAAUUUUAUUUGAGGGAAAGGCAUAAGCUAACAUACUUUCUCUACUUGGAUCAUAUGCACUUAUGAUUGGAACUCUAGCAAGCAUCCGCAACUACUAAAGAUCAUUAAGGUAAAACCCAACCAUAGCAUUAAAGCAUCAAGUCCCCUUUAUCCCAUACACAAACAACCUACUUACUCGGGUCCGUGCUUCUGUCACUCACGCCACCCACCAUAAGCAAAUCAUGAACAUAUUGCAAACCCUACACCGGUAAUCCCUCACGCUUGCGCGACAUGGAGAGCACCAUAGGACAGCACCAAUAAUAAAACAUGCAACUCAAACCAAUCUUGAUCAUUAAAUAGCCCAUAGGACAAAACGAAUCUACUCAAACAUCAUAGGAUAGCCAUACAUCAUUGGGAAAUAAUAUAUAGCGUUGAGCACCAUGUUUAAGUAGAGAUUACAACGGGUAAGAGAGAGGUUACACCGCUGCAUAGAGGGGGGAAGAGUUGGUGAUGAUGGCGGUGAAGUUGUUGGUGAAGAUUGCGGUGAUGAUGAUGGCCACGGCGGCGUUCCGGCGCCACCAGAAGAGAAGGGGAGAGGGGGCCCCUUCGUCUUCUUCUUCCUGGAACUCCUCCCUAGAUGGGAGAAGGGUUUACCCUCUGGUCCUUGGCCUCCAUGGCGUGGGAGGGGCGAGAGCCCCUCCGAGAUUGGAUCUGUCUCUCUGUCUCUCUCUAUUUUUGCAUUCUGUUCUGCUGCCCUUUCACCGUUUCGUAUAUAUAUGGAGAUCCGUAACUCCGAUUGGACUGAAACCUUCGCCGUUAUUUUUUUUACCAAAAAUUAGCUUUCUUGCGGCUGAAGAAGGGCAUCAACCGCCUUACGGGUGGCCCACGAGGGUCAGGGGCACGCCCAGGGGGCAGGGGCGCCCGCCUGCCUCGUGGCCACCUCGGGCACCGUCUCGCGUGGAUUUUUCUUCCGGAAUUUUCCAAAUAUUCCAAAAAUAAGCUCCGUCCAUUUUUAUCCCAUUUGGAUUCCAUUUGAUAUGGAUAUUCCGCGAAACAUAAAACAUGCAACAAACAGGAACUGGCACUGGGCACUGGAUCAAUAUGUUAGUCCCAAAAAUAGUAUAAAAAGUUGCCAAAAAGUACAUGAAAGUUGAAUAAUAUUGGCAUGGAACAAUCAAAAAUUAUAGAUACGACGGAGACGUAUCAGCAUCCCCAAGCUUAAUUCCUGCUCGUCCCCGAGUAGGUAAAUGAUAAAAAAGAUAAUUUUUGAUGUGGAAUGCUACCUAGCAUAAUCUUGAUCAUAUGUCUAAUCAUGGCAUGAAUAUUAAGACACGAGUGAUUCAAAGCAAUAGUCUAUCCUUUGACAUAAAAGCAAUAAUACUUCAAGCAUACCAACCAAGCAAUUAUGUCUUAUUGAAAUAACAUAGCCAAAGAAAGCUCAUCCCUACAAAAUCAUAUAGUCUGGCUAUGCUCCAUCUUCACCACACAAAAUAUUCACACCAUGCACAACCCCGAUGACAAGCCAAGCAAUUGUUUCAUACUUUUGACGUUUCUCAAACCUUUUCAACUUUCACGCAAUACAUGAGCGUGAGCCAUGGACAUAGCACUAUAGGUGGAAUAGAAUAUGAUGAUGGGGGUUAUGUGGAUAAGACAAAAAAGGAGAAAGUCUCACAUCGACGCGGCUAAUCAACGGGCUAUGGAGAUGCCCAUCAAUUGAUGUCAAUGUGAGGGGUAGGGAUUGCCAUGCAACGGAUGCACUAGAGCUAUAAGUGUAUGAAAGGUCAAACUGAAACUAAGUGGGCGUGCAUCCAACUUGCUUGCUCAUCAAGACCUAGGGCAUUUGAGGAAGCCCAUCGUUGGAAUAUACAAGCCAAGUUCUAUAAUGAAAAUUCCCACUAGUAUAUGAAAGUGAUAACUCAAGAGACUCUCUAUAUGAAGAACAUGGUGCUACUUUGAAGCACAAGUGUGGUAAAAGGAUAGUAACAUUGCCCCUUCUCUCUUUUUCUCUCAUUUUUUUGUUUUCUUUUUUUCCCUUUUUUUGGGCCUUCUCUUUUUUUUUGUCCGGAGUCUCAUCCCGACUUGUGGGGGAAUCAAAGUCUCCAUCAUCCUUUCCUCACUGGGGCAAUGCUCUAAUAAUGAUGAUCAUCACACUUUUAUUUACUUACAACUCAAUAUUACAACUCGAUAUCUAGAACAAAGAUAUGACUCUAUAUGAAUGCCUCCGGCGGUGUACCGGGAUGUGCAAUGAUCUAGCGUAGCAAUGACGUCAAAAAACGGACAAGCCAUGAAAACAUCAUGCUAGCUAUCUUGCGAUCAUGCAAAGCAAUAUGACAAUAAAUUCUCAAGUCAUGUAUAUGAUGAUGAUGGAAGUUGCAUGGCAAUAUAUCUCGGAAUGGCUAUGGAAAUGCCAUAAUAGGUAGGUAUGGUGGCUGUUUUGAGGAAGAUAUAAGGGGGUUUAUGUGUGAUAGAGCGUAUCGUAUCACGGGGUUUGGAUGCACCGGCGAAGUUUGCACCAACUCUCGAGGUGAGAAAGGGGAAUGCACGGUACCGAAGAGGCUAGCAAUGAUGGAAGGGUGAGAGUGCGUAUAAUCCAUGGACUCAACAUUAGUCAUAAAGAACUCACAUACUUAUUGCAAAAGUCUAUUAGCUAUCGAAACAAAGUACUACGCGCCUGCUCCUAGGCGGAUAGAUUGGUAGGAAAAGACCAUCGCUCGUCCCCGACCGCCACUCAUAAGGAAGACAAUCUAUAAACACAUCAUGCUCCAACUUCGUUACAUAACGGUUCACCAUACGUGCAUGCUACGGGACUUGCAAACCUCAACACAAGUAUUUCUCAAUUUCACAAUUACUCAACUAGCACGACUCUAGUAUCGCCACCUUUAUAUCGCAAAACUAUUGCAAGGAAUCAAACAUAUCAUAUUCAGUGAUCUACAAGUUUUAUGUAGGGUUUUAUGACUCACCAUGUGAAUGACCAGUUCCCGUCAUCUCUCUAAAUAGAUAUAAGUGAAGCACGAGAGUUUAAUUCUUUCUACAAAAGAUAUGCCCACGCUCUAACAAAUAUAAGUGAAGCAAAAGAGCAUUCUACAAAUGGCGGUUGUCUAUGUAAAGAGAAACAGGCAAUCCAAGCUUCAAAUGAUAUAAGUGAAGCACAUGAAGCAUUCUAUAAAGCCAUACUCAAAAGAUAUAAGUGAAGUGCAAUGAGCAUUCUAUAAAUCAACCAAGGCCUAUCUCAUACCAGCAUGGUGCAUAAAAGAAAAGUGAAAACUAAAUGCAAAAGACGCUCCAAGAUUUGCACAUAUCACAUGAAUGAAACGAAUCCGAAAACAUACCGAUAUUUGUUGAAGAAAGAGGGGAUGCCUUCCGGGGCAUCCCCAAGCUUAGACGCUUGAGUCUCCUUAAAUAUUUACUUGGGGUGCCUCGGGCAUCCCCAAGCUUGAGCUCUUGCCUCUCUUCCUUCUCACAUCGAGACCUUCUCGAUCAUCGAACACUUCAUCCACACAAAACUCCAAUAGAAAACUCGGUAAGAUCCGUUAGUAUAAUAAAGCAAAUCACUACUCUAAGUACUGUUGCAAACCAAUUCAUAUUUUGUUUUUGCAUUGUGUCUACUGUAAUAUAACUUUUUCAUGGCUUAAUCCACUGAUAUAAAUCGAUAGUUUCAUCAAAACAAGCAAACUAUGCAUCAAAAACAGAAUCUGUCUAAAACCGAACAGUCUGUAAUAAUCUGAACAUUCACCAUACUUCUGAUACUUGAAAAAUUCUGACAAAAUUAGGAAAAAUAAAAAAUUUGUACAGAAAGACAGUGCAAAAAGAAUCAGAACCGUUUGACGUUCCAGUAAAAAAAUUAAAAAUCACGCACUACAGCCAAAGUUUCUGUCCUGCACCGUACAAACCAACAAGCAUUGUAAACAUCCUAAAGGCAAACCUUGGCACAUUAUUUUUUAUUCCUAAGCUUUAUAAAAGCACUCAACAGAAAUAAAUGACUCUCUAAAACUUCCGGGUUGUCUCCCUGGCAGCGCUUUCUUUAAAGCCAUUAAGCUAGGCAUAUAGUGCUCGAGUAGUGAAUCCACCCGGAUCCCAAGGUAUAUCAAAGCCAAUUUUAAUUAGAAAUGAUUUGGCAUUUAGUAGUGAGCACAAAGCAACAUAUAUCAAGCAAUGACGAAGUCUAACUCUCUUCCUAUGCAUCGGCAUGUCAUAAAAGAACAAUUCAUCCACACAUAGUAAAGGCCAAUGCAUAGUAUAAACAGUUUCUUGCAAUUUUAUCGUGUUGGAAACAUAGAGAGGUGGAGAUAUAGUUCCUCUCUCAUAAUAAUUGCAAGUAGGAGCAGCAAGCACAUGCAUAUUAUAUCUAUCAAAAUCAUCAUGUGUAACGGUAAAAGGCAACCCAUCAAUAUAAUCCUUAAUAAAUGCAAACUUCUCCGAUAUAGUGUAGUCGGGAGAAUUCAAAAAGAUAAUAGGACUAUCAUGCGUGGGUGCAAUAGCAACAAUUUCAUGUUUAACAUAAGGAACUAUAGCAAGUUCAUCUCCAUAAGCAUAAUUCAUAUUGGCAUCUUGGCCACAUGCAUAGCAAGAAUCAUCAAAAAGGGAUAUUUCAAGAGAAUCAAUGGGAUCAUAAUAGUCAUCAUAGCAAUCAUCCUUCGGUAAACACGAAGGGAAAUUAAACAAUGUAUGAGUUGAAGAGUUACUCUCAUUAGAAGGUGGGCACGGGUAGCUAAUCCGCUCUUCCUCCUUUUGUUCUUCGCUCUCCUCAUCAUCUUUUUCAUCCAAUGAGCUGACAGUUUCAUCAAUUUCUUCUUCCAUAGACUCCUGCAAAAUAUUGGUCUCUUCUUGGAUAGCGGAGUAGUCCUCAAUAUAUGGUUCAACAUAGGCAUUAGAAGCAUAAUUAUCAUAGCAAUAUUUAAGUAUGGCAAAAUUUUCAGAUUUGUAAAGAGUAGCAUCAUACGUUUCAAUCAAAGAAGCAAUUUUAUAAGCACCCUUAAAAGCAACAAAUUCUUCAAUUUGUUGAAUAUCAUAGUAAUUAUAAACACCCUUAGCAUACGAAGAUAGGAUUCCAUUAUCAAUAAACUCACAUUGGUAGGGGAGGUGUUUCUACAUAUAACAUAAAUUCCAAGCAUAGCAUUGCAAACGAUGAAUUGGACCCAAUAGAAUUUCCCUUUUUCAGAUAUUCGCUGUCGCACAUAACAAGCAUGCUCAUCUAAAGAUUUGCCCUCAACUAAGCUAGUUGGGGUUUCACCAUGAGCACAAAGGGAUCGAAGAUGAUCCAAGUAAAAAGCUUCAGGAGUGUGAUAGAUUUUGAGUGGUUCUUCAACCAUUGGUUCAGUAGGUACAACUACUUUUUUGGUAUUUUGCGUUUCCUACCCAUAACUAAAGAUAGAAAACAACUAAGAACAACAAAUAAAAAUUACUUAGUGAUAAAGCAAACAAGUACACACGAGAAUAUUCACCCCACGCUAUAACUCCCCGGCAACAGCGGCAGAAAAAGGUCUUGAUAACCCACAAGUAUAGGGGAUCAAUUGUAGCCUCUUUCGAUAAGUAAGAGUGUCGAACCCAACGAGGAGCUAAAGGUAGAACAAAUAUUCCCUCAAGUUAUAUCGACCACCGAUAGAAUUGUACGCACACUUGACGUUCGCUUUAUCGAAAACAAGUAUGAAACUAGAAGUACUUUGUAGGUGUUUUUGGAUAGGUUUGCAAGAAUAUAAAGAGAGCGUAAAUAAAAAAUAGGGGCUGUUUAGAUAAAGACACAACUAAAUUAGUUUUAGUAAAGAGCUUGUUGUCACGAGAAAGUUAUUUGUCCCUAGGCAAUCAAUAACUAGACCGGUAAUCAUUAUUGCAAUUUUAUUUGAGGAAGAGGCAUAAGCUAACAUACUUUCUCUACUUGGAUCAUAUGCACUUAUGAUUGGAACUCUAGCAAGCAUCCGCAACUACUAAAGAUCAUUAAGGUAAAACCCAACCAUAGCAUUAAAGCAUCAAGUCCCCUUUAUCCCAUACACAAACAACCUACUUACUCGGGUCCGUGCUUCUGUCACUCACGCCACCCACCAUAAGCAAAUCAUGAACAUAUUGCAAACCCUACACCGGGAAUCCCUCACGCUUGCGUGACAUGGAGAGCACCAUAGGACAGCACCAAUAAUAAAACAUGCAACUCAAACCAAUCUUGAUCAUUAAAUAGCCCAUAGGACAAAACGAAUCUACUCAAACAUCAUAGGAUAGCCAUACAUCAUUGGGAAAUAAUAUAUAGCGUUGAGCACCAUGUUUAAGUAGAGAUUACAGCGGGUAAGAGAGAGGUUACACCGCUGCAUAGAGGGGGGAAGAGUUGGUGAUGAUGGCGGUGAAGUUGUUGGUGAAGAUUGCGGUGAUGAUGAUGGCCACGGCGGUGUUCCGGCGUCACCGGAAGAGAAGGGGAGAGGGGGCCCCUUCGUCUUCUUCUUCCUUGACCUCCUCCCUAGAUGGGAGAAGGGUUUCCCCUCUGGUCCUUGGCCUCCAUGGCGUGGGAGGGGCGAGAGCCCCUCCGAGAUUGGAUCCGUCUCUCUGUCUCUCUCUGUUUCUGCGUUCUAUUCUGCUGCCCUUUCACCGUUUCGUAUAUAUAUGGAGAUCCGUAACUCCGAUUGGACUGAAACCUUCGCCGUGAUUUUUUUACCAAAAAUUAGCUUUCUUGCGGCCGAAGAAGGGCAUCAACCGCCUUACGGGUGGCCCACGAGGGUCAGGGGCGUGCCCAGGGGGCAGGGGCGCCCCCCUGCCUCGUGGCCACCUCGGGCACUGUCUCGCGUGGAUUUUUCUUCCGGAAUUUUCCAAAUAUUCCAAAAAUAAGCUCCAUCCAUUUUUAUCCCAUUUGGAUUCCGUUUGAUAUGGAUAUUCUGCGAAACAUAAAACUUGCAACAAACAGGAACUGGCACUGGGCACUGGAUCAAUAUGUUAGUCCCAAAAAUAGUAUAAAAAGUUGCCAAAAAGUAUAUGAAAGUUGAAUAAUAUUGGCAUGGAACAAUAAAAAAUUAUAGAUACGACGGAGACGUAUCACGGUGGAAUUAGGUUUUCGUGGAUGCUUCUGUUGGUUUGGGGGUACGUAGGUAUAUAUAGGAGGAAGAAGUACGUCGGUGGAGCAACGUGGGCCCCAUGAGGGUGGAGGGCGCGCCCCGGGGGGUAGGCGCGCCCCCUGCCUCGUGCUCUCCUGGUUGCUUUCUUGAUGUAGGGUCAAAGUCCUCUGGAUCACGUUCGUUCCGAAAAUCACGUUCUCAAAGGUUUCAUUCCGUUUGGACUCCGUUUGAUAUUCUUUUUCUGCGAAACUCUGAAAUAGGCAAAAAACAGCAAUUUGGGCUGGGCCUCCGGUUCAUAGGUUAGUCCCGAAAAUAAUAUAAAAGUGUAUAACAAACCCCAUUAAACAUCAAAAACAGAAUAUAAUAUAGCAUGAAGCAAUCAAAAAUUAUAGAUACGUUGGAGACGUAUCAACCAUGCCCAAGCUUAAUUCCUGCUCGUCCUCGAGUAGGUAAAUGAUAAAAACAGAAUUUUUGAUGCGGAAUGCUACUUGGCAUAAUUUUUUAAUGUAACCCUCUUAAUUGUGGUAUGAAUAUUCAGAUCCGAAAGAUUCAAGAUAAAAGUUUAAUAUUGACGUAAAAAUAAUAAUACUUCAAGCAUACUAACUAAGCAAUUAUGUCUUCUCAAAAUAACAUGGCCAAAGAAAGUUCAUCCCUACAAAAUCAUAUAGUUUAGUCAUGCUCCAUUUUCGUCACACAAGAAUGCUCUCAUCAUGCACAACCCCGAUGACAAGCCAAGCAAUUGUUUCAUACUUUAGUAAUCUCAAACUUUUUCAACCUUCAAGCAAUACAUGAGCGUGAGCCAUGGAUAUAGCACUAUGGGUGGAAUAUAAUAUAAUGAUGGGGGUUAUGUGGAGAAGAAAAAAAGGAGAAAGUCUCACAUCAACGCGGCUAAUCAAUGGGCUAUGGAGAUGCCCAUCGAUUGAUGUUAAUGCAAGGAGUAGGGAUUGCCAUGCAACGGAUGCACUAGAGCUAUAAAUGCAUAAGAGCUCAACCAAAGAAACUAAGUGGGUGUGAAUCCAACUUGCUUGCUCAGGAAGACCUAGGGCAUUUGAGGAAGCCCAUUGUUGGAAUAUACAAGCCAAGUUCUAUAAUGAAAAAUUCCCACUAGUAUAUGAAAGUGACAAAACAAGAGACUCUCUAUCAUGAAGAUCAUGGUGCUACUUUAAAGCACAAGUGUGGAAAAAAAGGAUAGUAGCAUUGUCCCUUUAUAUAUAUAUAUAUAUAUAUUUGGGCCUCUUUUUUAUUUGGCCUUUCUCUAUUUUUUGGGACAAUGCUCUAUGAAUGAUGAUCAUCACACUUCUAUUUAUUUGCAACUCAAUGAUUACAACUCGAUACUAGAACAAGGUAUGACUCUAUAUGAACGCCUCCGGCGGUAUACCGGGAUAGGCAAUGAAUCAAGAGUGACAUGUAUGAAAAAUUAUGAACGAUGGCUUUGCCACAAAUACGACGUCAACUACAUGAUCAUGCAAAGCAAUAUGACAAUGAUGAACAUGUCAUGAUAAACGGAACGGUGGAAAGUUGCAUGGCAAUAUAUCUCGGAAUGGCUAUGGAAAUGCCAUAAUAGGUAGGUAUGGUGGCUGUUUUGAGGAAGAUAUAAGGAGGUUUAUGUGUGAUAGAGCGUAUCAUAUCACGGGGUUUGGAUGCACCGGCGAAGUUUUCACCAACUCUCAAUGUGAGAAAGGGCAAUGCACGGUACCGAAGAGGCUAGCAAUGAUGGAAUGGUAAGAGUGCGUAUAAUCCAUGGACUCAACAUUAGUCAUAAAGAACUCACAUACUUAUUGCAAAAAUCUACUAGUCAUCAAAAACCAAGCAUUACGCGCAUGCUCCUAGGGGGAUAGAUUGGUAGGAAAAGACCAUCGCUCGUCCCCGACCGCCACUCAUAAGGAAGACAAUCAAAGAACACCUCAUGUUUCAAAUUUGUUACAUAACGUUUACCAUACGUGCAUGCUACGGGACUGACAAACUUCAACACAAGUAUUUCUCAAUUUCAAAACUACUCAACUAGCACAACUUUAAUAUCACUACCUCCAUAUCUCAAAACAAUCAUCAAGCAUCAAACUUCUCUUAGUAUUCAGCACACUCAUAAGAAAGUUUUUACUAGUCUUGAAUACCUAGCAUAGUAGGAUUAAUUUUCCUAUUUAAGCAAAUUACCAUGCUGUUUAAGACUCUCAAAAUAAUAUAAGUGAAGCAUGAGAGAAUAAUAGUUUCUAUAAAACAAAACCACCGCCGUGCUCUAAAAGAUAUAAGUGAAGCACUAGAGCAAAAACUAUAUAGCUCAAAAGAUAUAAGUGAAGCACAUAGAGUAUUCUAACAAAUUCCGAAUCAUGUGUGUCUCUAUCAAAAGGUGUGUACAGAAAAGAUGAUUGUGGUAAACUAAAAAGCAAAGACUCAAAUCAUACGAGACGCUCCAAGCAAAACACAUAUCAUGUGGUGAAUAAAAAUAUAGCUCCAAGUAAAGUUACCAACGGAAGUAGACGAAAGAGGGGAUGCCUUCCGGGGCAUCCCCAAGCUUUUGCUUUUUGGUGUCCUUAGAUUAUCUUGGGGUGCCAUGGGAAUCCCUAAGCUUAGGCUCUUGCCACUCCUUGUUCCAUAAUCCAUCAAAUCUUUUACUCAAAACUUGAAAACUUCACAACACAAAACUUAACAGAAAAUCUCGUGAGCUCCGUUAGCGAAAGAAAACAAAAGACCACUUCAAGGUACUGUAAUGAACUCAUUCUUUAUUUAUAUUGGUGUUAAAACCACUGUAUUCCAACUUCUCUAUGGUUUAUAAACUAUUUUACUAGCCAUAGAUUCAUCAAAAUAAGCAAACAACACACGAAAAACAGAAUCUGUCAAAAACAGAGCAGUCUGUAGUAAUCUGUAACUAACGUAAACUUCUGGAACUCAAAAAAUUCAGCCAAAAUAGGACGACCUAGAAAAUUUGUUUAUUGAUCAGAAGCAAUUGGAAUCAAUAUUUUAUCACGUUCUGAUGAUUUUUAACAAUUGUUUUCGUGAACAGAAAGUUUCUGGAAUUUUCAGCAAGAUCAAAUAACUAUCAUCCAAGAAGAUCCUAUAGGUUUAACUUGGCACAAACACUAAUUAAAACAUAAAAAAAUCUAACCAGAGGCUAGAUCAAAGAUUUAUUCCUAAACAGAAGCAAAAAGCAAAAAAACUAAAAAUAAAAUUGGGUUGCCUCCCAACAAGCGCCGUCGUUUAACGCCCUUAGCUAGGCAUAAAAGCAAGGAUAGAUCUAGGUAUUGCCAUCUUUGGUAGGCAAUCCAUAAGUGGCUCUGAUAAUAGAUUCAUAUGGUAGUUUAAUUUUCUUUCUAGGGAAGUGUUCCAUGCCUUUCUUUAACGGAAAUUGGAAUCUAAUGUUUCCUUCCUUCAUAUCAAUAAUUGCACCAAUCGUUCUAAGGAAAGGUCUACCAAGAAUAAUAGGACAUGAAGGAUUGCAAUCUAUGUCAAGAACAAUAAAAUCUACGGGCACAUAGUUCCUAUUUGCAACAAUAAGAACAUCAUUAAUUCUUCCCAUAGGUUUUUUAAUGGUGGAAUCCGCAAGGUGCAAGUUCGAAGAACAAUCAUCAAAUUCACGGAAACCUAGCAAAUCACACAAAGUUUUUGGAAUUGUGGAAACACUAGCACCCAAGUCACACAAAGCAUAGCAUUCAUGGUCUUUAAUUUUAAUUUUAAUAGUAGGUUCCCACACAUCAUAAAGUUUUCUAGGGAUAGAAACUUCGAACUCAAGUUUUUCUUCAUAAGAUUGCAUCAAAGCAUCAACGAUAUGUUUAGUAAACGCUUUAUUUUGACUAUAAGCAUGAGGAGAAUUUAGCACGGAUUGUAAUAAGGAAAUACAAUCUAUCAAAGAGCAAUUAUCAUAAUUAAAUUCCUUGAAAUCCAAAAUAGCGGGUUCAUUAAUAUCUAGAGUUUUGAUCUCUUCAAUCCCACUUUUACCAAUUUUUGCAUCAAGAUCUAUAAACUCCAAAUUUUUGGAACGCCUUCUAGGUAAAGGUGGCUCAUAUUCAGUCCCAUCAUUAUCAAGAUUCAUAUUGGAAAACAGAGAUUUAAUAGGGGACACAUCAAUAACUUUUAGAUCUUCAUCUUUAUUCUCAGAAAAAAUUCCGGUUUAGCGGCCAUCUUAUUAACUAAGUGUAAUGCCCCGAGACCGACGCUCCAGAAGCCUUCCAGUUAUUUCAUUGUUGUCGUGUGUUUUAUUUGUUUGUUGCAUUCAUCAUCGCAUCAUUCGCAUUGCAUCGGCACUCUGUUGCCGUCAUUGUUUUCAAACUUGCAUUCGUUCGUAGUUGCCGCGUUCCCCCCCUUGUCUUCGUUGACCGUUCCGAGACCAACCGUGUUUUCGGUUCCCUCUUGUCAAACCAUCUAACCUCUCUCGUCAGCCCGCGAUCCCCUCCCGCGCGUCCGAAAGUUGUUCCGUACCCGACCCGGUUUGUUGUUACCGUUGGGUCCGGAUCAUCCCCUAACAUCUACAAAACAUCUCCGUUUUCUUAUUUGGACUCCCUACCUAUUAUUUUCUCGAUCGUCCAAUUUUAAUCGGAGGGACCAAAUACCCCUAUUCAAAAAUUCACUUGUUAUUUAAAGACUAACCCUAAAACCUAGGGAGCUUGUCCCAUCAGUCCCGUCCCGCCGCCAGCCGCGAGAUCCACCUCGUUUUUCCCCAUCCACCCAAAUGGUAGCCUCCACCUCUCCUCCCGAUUCACCUCCAUCGAUCCCAACACCACCAGGCCACUGCCUUGUCGUCCCUCCCCUUCCUCUGCCCUGCCUCUGCUCGCUCGUUGCCGCGCGAACGGAAGCGGAGCGGCCGAAGCCACCAGGAUCCCGUCGCCGGAGUCGUCCAGCCAGGUCCUUGUCCGUUCCCUUUCUCCUUCUUUUCCCUCUCUGGUUUUCUCUCCCUCUACUCAUCCCUCUGCUCGCUGCUCUCCCUCUCUCUGUUGUCCUCGUAGCGCCGCCAUGGAGGCCCCAACUCCAACCCGUAGCCGUUGCGCUACCGGAGUCGUCAUCACCUCGCGCGCCUCGUCCAGCUCGAGAUCUGGAGGAUCCCCGUCGUCAGCCACCUUGAGCCACCCCGCGUCAAGCUCGUCUGCCGCGCUGCCCCGCCGGACCUCUCCUGCAGCCGAGCCCCUCUCCCCAGCGUCCACGUCGCCAAGUACCUCGACCAGCCGGAGCUUCUUCCAGCCACGCGCGCCCGAGCCCCCGAGCUCCUCUGGUCGCGCACGAGCUCCCUGACCUCGACGGCCACUUCGCCAGCCUCGUCGCCGCCGUUGACUCGCAGGCUAGCACCUUGCCUCCUCCUCCCGUCCUCUUCUUCGGCUUCCCCUCUCUCUAAUCCCUCUCUCUCCCAGAUACUCCGUCGCCAUGGAUGCCAGCCGCUGCAUCGUCUCUGCAUCGAGCGCCGCUCGACCCCACAUUGGCCCGUCGCCCCGCCAAGCCACGCCAUCCUCCUGCCAGCGCCCGCCUGGGAUGAACGCAGCGUCGCCCCGCUCGCCUUCUUCGUGUGCCUGCGCCUCACGCCGAGCUCGUCCUCGAGCACGACACUGCCUUGUUGACCGCCGUCGUUCAGGCCAGGCCUCCCCUGCUCCUUUCCUUCUCCUUCCCUGCCUUCUACUCCCUCCUCUCACAUCUCUCUCUCACAGGGACCGCCAUGGUCGUCGCCCGGCCGUCGCCCUGUCAAGAAUCUUCGCUGGACCCCGUGGGGCUUCGUCUGGCUGGAUCUGCCGCGCCCGGCCGCGCCGGAGACCACCAGCGUCGCCCCCUGCAUCCUCUGCUUCGUCUCGACCACGCCCCUGCCUCGCGUUGACUCGCACAGCACCCCAGUGCCCGCACCUGGGCCACCGCUGUUACGGUCCAGCGGCCCCCUCCGUUGCGCCAGGCCCAGUGCGCCCAAGGCCUCCUCUGUAGAUGGGCCAAGGCCCGCUGGGUGAGCCUCCAGCGCCCACCCUCCUUUUGGCCCUGCCAGAUUCGGCCUGCCAUGUUUUUUUUGCUCCGGACGAAUUUCUCUUUUAUCCAGGAGUUUACAGAUUUGCAAAAAAACCCUUGAACAUCAUGCAUAUAAUAACUCACAAAUGGUGCAUCGGAUUAAGAUGAUUUUAACAUGUAAAAUGCUCAGAAAUUUGUGUAGUUUAAUAAUAUGCCACUCUCCAUGUUUAAAAUGAUGUUUGUUUAAAUUUGCUUAAAUGCCAGGUUCAAAUGAUUUAUUUCAUAACUAAUUAACCGUAACUCGGAUUUAAAUAAACUUUAUAUGCAAAUGGGGUAGAAAAAUGCCUAGUUUAACAUGGUGCACUUUAUUUUGCUGGUUAACAACAUUAAAAUUGUGUUUAUGGCAGAACAGUACCAAAUUCAAAAUAUGCAUUUGAGGGUUUUCCGGAUUUGUUAUUUGUUGUUCCGGCCUCAUUUAAACUUGCCUAAAUAGUUAGUUUACUUAUGCUUCACCUCUGGCCAUGCUAAUCAACAUUUAAUAUUGACGAGUAACAUAAAGAAGAGCGAACUAAAUAAUUGAUGUGGUGUUUUGUCAAUAUGCAACUCGUUGCAUAUUGAGCUCCACUUAACUGGUAGUAUUGUUUGUUGCACUUUGCCAUGCCACGUAUAUUUAAACCGGACAUGCAUCAUACUUGUUUGUGCAUCAUGCCAUGUUUAUGUGACGGUUGUUUACUAUGUUGUUUGUUUCUUUCCGGGUUGCUUCUCUCGUUAGCUUUGGUUUCGUUCCGGAGUUGUGAGGAUUCGUUCGACUACGUCCGCUUGUCUUCUUCAUGGACUCGUUCUUCUUCCUUGCGGGUUUUCAGGCAAGAUGACCAUACCCUCGAAAUCACUUCUAUCUUUGCUUGCUAGCUGUUCGCUCUAUUGCUAUGUAGCGCUACCUACCACUUGUUAUAUCAUGCCUCCCUUAUUGCCAUGUCAGCCUCUAACCUUUUCACCCUUCCUAGCAAACCGUUGCUUGGCUAUGUUACCGCUUUUGCUCAGCCCCUCUUAUAGCGUUGCUAGUAGCAGGUGAAGACGAAGAUUGCUCCAUGUUGGAUUAUGUUUAUGUUGGGAUAUCACAAUAUCUCUUAUUUUAAUUAACACAUCUAUAUACUUGGUAAAGGGUGGAAGGCUCGGCCUUAUGCCUGGUGUUUUGUUCCACUCUUGCCGCCCUAGUUUCCGUCAUACCGGUGUUAUGUUCCUUGAUUUUGCGUUCCUUACGCGGUUGGGUGAUUUAUGGGACCCCCUUGACAGUUCGCUUUGAAUAAAACUCCUCCAGCAAGGCCCAACCUUGGUUUUACCAUUUGCCUACCUAAGCCUUUUUCCCUUGGGUUCUGCAGACUCAAGGGUCAUCUUUAUUUUAAACCCCGGGCCAGUGUUCCUCUGAGUGCUGCUCCAAACUAGAGCCACUUGCAGCGCCACCUCGGGGAAACUCGAGGUCUGGUUUUAGUUGUACGUAGUGUUCAUCCGAUGUGCCCUGAGAACGAGAUAUGUGCAGCUCCUAUCAGGAUUUGUCGGCAUAUUCGGGCGGCUUUGCUGGUCUUGUUUUACCAUUAUCGAAAUGUCUUGUAAACCGGGAUUCCGAGACUGAUCGGGUCUUCCCGGGAGAAGGUUUAUCCUUCGUUGACCGUGAGAGCUUUUAAUGGGCUAAGUUGGGACACCCCUGCAGGGUAUUAUCUUUCGGAAGCCGUUCCCACGGUUAUGUGGCAGAUGGGAAUUUGUUAAUAUCCGGUUGUAGAGAACUUGACACUUGACCUUUAUUAAAACGCAUCAACCGCGUGUGUAGCCGUGAUGGUCUCUUCUCGGCGGAGUCCGAGAAGUGAACACGGUUUCUGGGUUAUGUUUGACGUAAGUAGAGGUUCAGGAUCACUUCUUGAUCAUUGCUAGCUGGCGACCGUUCCAUUGCUCCUCUUCUCGCUCUUAUUUGCGUAUGUUAGCCACCAUAUAUGCUAGUGCUUGCUGCAGCUCCACCUCACCACCCCUUUUCCUUCCUAUGAGCUUAAAUAGUCUUGAUCUCGCGGGUGUGAGAUUGCUGAGUCCUCGUGACUCACAGAUACUUCCAAACAGUUGCAGGUGCCGAUGAGACCAGUGCAGGUGAUGCAACUGAGCUCAAGUGGGAGCUCGAUGAAGAUCUUGGUCGUUGUGUUGUUUCUUUUCAUGUUGUUCAGUAGUGGAGCCCAGUCGGGACGAUCGGGGAUCUAGCAGUUGGGUUGUCUUCUUUUCUUUUGGUUCCGUAGUCGGACCUAUGUGUGUAUCUUGAAUGUUGUAUGAUUCUAUUUAUGUAUUGUGUGAAGUGGCGAUUGUAAGCCAACUCUUUAUCCCAUUCUUUUUCAUUACAUGGGAUUGUGUGAAGAUGACCCUUCUUGCGACAAAACCACAAUGCGGUUAUGCCUCUAAGUCGUGCCUCGACACGUGGGAGAUAUAGCCGCAUCGUGGGCGUUAUAAGUUGGUAAUCAGAGCCAUCCCUGACUUAGGAGCCCCCUGCUUGAUCGAAUCGCUGACGUUGUUGAGUCUAGAACAAAAAAUGUUUUGAUUCUGAGGAUUAUAUAUAUCGGAGAGUAGGAUUCUUUUUACUCCUCAGUCCCUUCGUCGCUCUGGUGAGGCCUCCUGACGUAGAACUUUUGACUCUUCUCUCCUCAAAUUUCACUAAAUUUUUUUUAGGAUCACGCGGGUAUCUUGGAAUCGUUCCGAUGGUUUUGUGACGAGAACAUUGUUCUUGGUGCCUCCUGACAUUUAGGGGUUGUGGCAGUGUCCCGGGGAGUUGAGCUCCGAGGUGUUGUUGUCACAAUUUUAUCGUUGCAGUUCUGGAAUACCUGAGUUUCGCCGACAUCGAAAUCUCUUUUAUGCAGUUGUUGGUGAGAUCACCUCGACGCCACCCAGUACUGGGGCGGGAGUUCGGGAGUAUUGCCAUAACUCGGAUAACGGAUGCUUUUCGAAGGUUGAGGUACACGAUUUCCGAAGGUUUCUUGGUUAUGUGUUGACGGAUGGAUACAGCUGGAUCUAGGGAUUGCUAGUUUGGGUGAUAUAUUUUGUGUCCCCUGUAUCCCCAACACCAGAUUGCAUAACCAGAAAGUUUCGGGAGUUUAUAAGUGGGGAUUCAAGUAGCUCUUAGGAUAUCUUUCCGACAAACGCAUGAUAUGAGAUUGGGGUUCGACGUCUAGUGGUCCGUUUGUACACGGUUGGUUUUACAGUGGUCUCGUAGUGUCUUAAAGAGUCCUUGGCUAUGCCAACUCGGGGACGCUUCGUAUGUCAUGUGCACAGCCUUGUACAUGAUGGUGCUGUACGAUUGAGCCCGUGUGGGCCCCACCACGAAAACUUUGGACGAAAUCUCUAUCAUAUGUUUGUUCCGGCUUAUUCUGCAAGCCAAAUCCUUUGUUUUGUUUUUAUUUGUGGUAUUCGAGUUGCUUCGAAGUCAAAUGUUGAAUCCAUACCUUUCCUAAACAGUGUUCUCAUAUUGCUAUGUGAAUACUAAUCCUUCUUGACCAUCGAGUUUGUCAUCCCAAUUCUUUCCAACCGACGUGCUCUUUUUCAAGUGGAUCCGAUCAUUUUAACAUUCGCGAGAUCAAUUCUUAGUUCUUUGCAAUGGUGUUUGCUUCAUCCGUCCCAAGUUGUCUUUGUUUUUUUCCCGCCCUCCCACCCUUUUUCUUGAAACACUCAGAUUUCUUAACCAAGUAUCCAUUUUAUUCACGUGAAGUCCCUUCAUUCUUUUCAAUCAAUGUUCUUACCUGGUGGUUCUCAUGAAGAUGUUCUUCAAGCUUUUCAUUCUUCAUUCUUUUUCUUCUCCGGUGGACUAAAUUCAAGCCUUCAAUGUUGGUCACAUUCCUUUCCCUGUUUCAAAUGUUUUCUCAUGCCGGUGUAUCUCUUAAUCAUCCACCUCUUGCUAUUCAUGUUUUUUUUGGAGUGCUGAAGAUAUCUCAGGAGACUCGCAUUUCCAUUCCCAAUCCGUUCAAGCUAUCUCGAGGUUGUUAUCUCUUUUGAGCCAUUUAAUUCAACCGGUGCAAUCUCCUUUUCAAGUAAUCAUUUCAACGGUGUUUCUUUUGAGUGGGCCCUAACCCACAGGUCUUUUCCAGGAUCUUACCUGACUCUUCUAAUUUUUCCCCGGAGCUUCUAAAAAUUCUUUUCAAAGUCUGACGUAAGAAUGAGUUAUCAUCAGUCAUAUUUCUUCUCCAAGAUCUUUCAAAUUCUUUUCAUCGUUGGUUCAACCUUUCUAAUUUUCAUCCCGGAGUAUCUCAACAAUUUAUGGUGGUGUUUCUUGUCAUCAUUCUCAACAUUUGAAGACCGAAGAAGAGUUUUUCCUCCAAAUCUUAUCCGUUCUCUCAAGAUUCAUGGUUCUAGCUUGAUGCCAUCCUCUCAUAAUUGUUUUCGAUGGUGAGAAUUCUUUUCAACCACCCGGAGCAUUUCAGAAGUCUUUUCAGUUUGAUUCUCCGGAGCCCACCAUCUCAGAAUUAUUCAUUCAAGCUUUCAGCUCUCGUUCCCCAAAUCUUACCGGUGCAUCAUUCAAGUAUUCUCUAAUCAGCUUGUGAUCUCUUCGUUCUCACGUAUUUAAAUUCUGUCAAGUAUCUUUAUUCGUUUUCUGAUUCUUCCCGGUGUUUUUUUCUUUAUCUUAUCUUCGUUGAUUUUCAGAUUCUCGCGGUGGUUCGUUCAAGAUUUCUCUUCCCUCGUUAUCAUAUCAAUUCAUUCGUUGUUUCCAAAUCCUACCGGUGGUUCGAUGAAGACCUUCACAAGUUUGCGCAAUAUCUAUCUUAAUCCUUUCUACGAGAAUAAGUAGUAUGCCAAAUCCGUUGAUUGUCAUCAAUUUAUAUUGGUGAAGGAUACGCAUAACAUAAUUCUUAUUAUUGUUUCAUCCAAGUGAUCUAAUUUCUUCUUUCCGGAGUUGUUCAUCAUAUCAAAUUUUCGGUUCAAAGUUGUUCAUCUUUUCUUUCCGGAGAUCCAAGUUAUUUCAAUUAUAUUAUUUCAAAGCUUCAGCUAAUCAUUGCAAGGUUUCUCCCGGAGUUCUUUUCAAUUUUCCAUUUCGUUUGAUCAUUCUUUUAUUACCGGAGUUCUUCAUGGAGGCUCUACAUGGUGGUUCAUCAAGGAUUCUUUUCAUUCCUCAAUUGUUCUUCAAGAUUUUCUCGAAGUUAAGAUCCGCUAAACUAUACUCUUAAAUAAAGAUGGUGCUCAACAUAUGUUUUGUUUUGUGGAGUCCAAGCAUUCUUCAUCUUGCAUUCUAAAGUGCAAUUCGUUCUACCUUAUCAUUUGAGGCGGUGUUAUGUCAUUCUUGACAGUUUGAGUUCGCGUUUCAUGAUUCACAUGUUGUCAAGAAUGAGAUAUUUUAAAUCCACCAAUCUCUUCGUUGGAUUUAUCUUGUGUCAUGUUUCACCUAAAGCUUUCCCUAAGGAUUUUUGCUAUUUAUGGUGCUCAUAAAUGACCCAAGUUCUUCAUUUAUCCUCCCGGCGAAAUAAGUUUCUCGUCUCCUUGUUCAUAUCAAUCCAAUCUAUUGUUUUCCGUUAGUGGCAGAAUUUCAACUCAAGUUUUUGAGAUGUUUUCCUUAAGCCCACAACAAGCUUGUUCUUUCGUUGUUGAUUUUUCCAACAACUCCGUUCAAUCCUACUUCGUAAAGAUGCUCCUUAAAAUUCAAUUAUGGUAGGAGAUGUUGGUUUCACUCUUUGUUCUAUUCACUCCAACUAUCUAACUAUCAUGCAUUGUUUCCGGAGGUUUUGUGAUGUUGCUCUCUUCGACCAAUCAUCUUGUUUUGUCAAGAUCAUGUAAAUUUUCCUUUCUUAUCCGUUUAACCAGAGUGUCGUGCCCUCUUUUCAAGUUCUUCCCAUUCUGUCAAGUUUUGUCUCCUUCCUCAACCGGAGUGCUGUCUGAAAUCUUUCUUACCCCUUGUGCCAUUCUUUCAUUAGUUCCGGAGAAAAUGUGUUGUUAAUUUCAUCGAGUAUCCUCUCAUCUUGUCAAGAUCAUGUUCAAUUCCUUCCAUUUACAGUCGGAGUGCUUCCCAAAUUAUAUCAUUCUUAUUCCUUCUCUAUCUUGUUUUAACCGGAGUGGUUUAAAUAUCUAUUGUGUCACUUAACCUCAAGGUUCUCAUGGAGUUCCUUGUUUCUCUUUUCUACCGGUGUGUUUUCAUAUUCCUUUUGAUCCGUUAAGCUAUUUUCCAUGCUUUUCAACCUACAAGGUUCUUGUAAGGUUCCUUGUUCCUCUUUGAUAACGGAGUGUUUUAAAUUUUGAUCAACUCUGUCGUAUUCUUCUUUCAAGUUUUCAACCUCUCAAGGUUCUUUGGUUUCACUCGUUUGUCAAAGAAGCAAUUUGUUUUACCUCUUCCUCUUCCGCUUUUCUCCGGUGCCAUCCUAGAUCUCGGGACGAGAUCCUCUUGUAGUGGUGGAGUGUUGUAAUGCCCCGAGACCGACGCUCCAGAAGCCUUCCAGUUAUUUCAUUGUUGUCGUGUGUUUUAUUUGUUUGUUGCAUUCAUCAUCGCAUCAUUCGCAUUGCAUCGGCACCCUGUUGCCGUCAUUGUUUUCAAACUUGCAUUCGUUCGUAGUUGCCGCGUUCCCCCCUUGUCUUUGUUGACCGUUCCGAGACCAACCGUGUUUUCGGUUCCCUCUUGUCAAACCAUCUAACCUCUCUCGUCAGCCCGCGAUCCCCUCCCGCGCGUCCGAAAGUUGUUCCGUACCCAACCCGGUUUGUUGUUACCGUUGGGUCCGGAUCAUCCCCUAACAUCUACAAAACAUCUCCAUUUUCUUAUUUGGACUCCCUACCUAUUAUUUUCUCGAUCGUCCGAUUUUAAUCGGAGGGACCAAAUACCCCUAUUCAAAAAUUCACUUGUUAUUUAAAGACUAACCCUAAAACCUAGGGAGCUUGUCCCAUCAGUCCCGUCCCGCCGCCAGCCGCGAGAUCCACCUCGUUUUUCCCCAUCCACCCAAAUGGUAGCCUCCACCUCUCCUCCCGAUUCACCUCCAUCGAUCCCAACACCACCAGGCUGCUGCCUUGUCGUCCGUCCCCUUCCUUUGCCCUGCCUCUGCUCGCUCGCUCCCGCGCGAACGGAAGCGGAGCGGCCAAAGCCACCAGGAUCCCGUCGCCGAAGUCGUCCAGCCAGGUCCUUGUCUGUUCCCUUUCUCCUUCUUUUCCCUCUCUGGUUUCCUCUCCCUCUGCUCAUCCCUCUGCUCGCUGCUCUCCCUCUCUCUGUUGUCCUCGUAGCGCUGCCAUGGAGGCCCCAGCUCCAACCCGUAGCCGCUGCGCUACCGGAGUCGUCAUCACCUCGCGCGUCUUGUCCAGCUCGAGAUCCGGAGGAUCCCCGUCGUCAGCCACCUCGAGCUACCCCGCGUCAAGCUCCUCUGCCGCGCUGCCCCACCGGACCUCUCCUGCAGCUGAGCCCCUCUCCCCGGCGUCCACGUCGCCAAGUACCUGGACCAGCCGGAGCUUCUUCCAGCCUCGCGCGCCCGAGCCCCUGAGCUCCUCUGGUCGCGCACGAGCUCCAUGACCUCGACGGCCACUUCGUCAGCCUCGUCGCCGCCGUUGACUCGCAGGCCAGCACCUUGCCUCCUCCUCCCGUCCUCUUCUUCGGCUUCCCCUCUCUCUAAUCCCUCUCUCUCCCAGAUACUCCGUCGCCAUGGAUGCCAGCCGCUGCAUCGUCUCUGCAUCGAGCGCCGCUCGACCCCGCGUUGGCCCGUCGCCCCGCCAAGCCGCGCCAUCCUCCUGUCAGCGCCCGCCUGGGAUGAACGCAGCGUCGCCCCGCUCGCCUUCUUCGUGUGCCUGCGCCUCACGCCGAGCUCGUCCUCGAACACGACGCCGCCUUGUUGACCGUCGUCGUUCAGGUCAGGCCUCCCCCACUCCUUUCCUUCUCCUUCCCUGCCUUCUACUCCCUCCUCUCACAUCUCUCUCUCACAGGGACCGCCAUGGUCAUCGCCCGGCCGUCGCCCUGUCAAGAAUCGUCGCCGGACCCCGUGGGGCUCCGUCUGGCUGGAUCUGCCGCGCCCGGCCGCGCCGGAGACCACCAGCGUCGCUCCUGCAUCCUCUGCUUCGUCUCGACCACGCCCCUGCCUCGUGUUGACUCGCACAGCGCCCCAGCGCCUGCGCCUAGGCCACCGCUGUUACGGUCCAGCGGCCCCCUCCGUUGCGCCAGGCCCAGUGCGCCCAAGGCCUCCUCUGUAGAUGGGCCAAGGCCCGCUGGGUGAGCCUCCAGCGCCCACCCUCCUUUUGGCCCUGCCAGAUUCGGCCUGCCAUGUUUUUUUCUGCUCCGGACGAAUUUCUCUUUUAUCCAGGAGUUUACAGAUUUGUAGAAAAACCCUUGAACAUCAUGCAUAUAAUAACUCACAAAUGGUGCAUCGGAUUAAGAUGAUUUUAACAUGUAAAAUGCUCAGAAAUUUGUGUAGUUUAAUAAUAUGCCACUCUAAUCCAUGUUUAAAAUGUUUAAAAUGAUGUUUGUUUAAAUUUGCUUAAAUGCCAGGUUCAAAUGAUUUAUUUCAUAACUAAUUAACCGUAACUCGGAUUUAAAUAAACUUUAUAUGCAAAUGGGGUAGAAAAAUGCCUAGUUUAACAUGGUGCACUUUAUUUUCCUGGUUAACAACAUUAAAAUUGUGUUUAUGGCAGAACAGUACCAAAUUCAAAAUAUGCAUUUGAGGAUUUUCCGGAUUUGUUAUUUGUUGUUCCGGCCUCAUUUAAACUUGCCUAAAUAGUUAGUUUACUUAUGCUUCACCUCUUGCCAUGCUAAUCAACAUUUAAUAUUGACGAGUAGCAUAAACAAGAGCGAAGUAAAUAAUUGAUGUGGUGUUUUGUCAAUAUGCAACUCGUUGCAUAUUGAGCUCCACUUAACUUGUAGUAUUGUUUGUUGCACUUUGCCAUGCCACACAUAUUUAAACCGGACAUGCAUCAUACUUGUUUGUGCAUCAUGCCAUGUUUAUGUGAUGGUUGUUUACUAUGUUGUUUGUUUCUUUCCGGGUUGCUUCUCUCGUUAGCUUCGGUUUCGUUUCGGAGUUGUGAGGAUUCGUUCGACUACGUCCGCUUGUCUUCUUCAUGGACUCGUUCUUCUUCCUUGCGGGUUUUCAGGCAAGAUGACCAUACCCUCGAAAUCACUUCUAUCUUUGCUUGCUAGCUGUUCGCUCUAUUGCUAUGUAGCGCUACCUACCACUUGUUAUAUCAUGCCUCCCUUAUUGCCAUGUCAGCCUCUAACCUUUUCACCCUUCCUAGCAAACUGUUGCUUGGCUAUGUUACCGCUUUUGCUCAGCCCCUCUUAUAGCGUUUCUAGUAGCAGGUGAAGACGAAGAUUGCUCCAUGUUGGAUUAUGUUUAUGUUGGGAUAUCACAAUAUCUCUUAUUUUAAUUAACGCAUCUAUAUACUUGAUAAAGGGUGGAAGGCUCGGCCUUAUGCCUGGUGUUUUGUUCCACUCUUGCCGCCCUAGUUUCCUUCAUACUGGUGUUAUGUUCCUUGAUUUUGCGGUCCUUACGCGGUUGGGUGAUUUAUGGGACCCCCUUGACAGUUCGCUUUGAAUAAAACUCCUCCAGCAAGGCCCAACCUUGGUUUUACCAUUUGCCUACCUAAGCCUUUUUCCCUUGGGUUCUGCAGACUCAAGGGUCAUCUUUAUUUUAAACCCCGGGCCAGUGUUCCUCUGAGUGCUGCUCCAAACUAGAGCCACUUGCAGCGCCACCUCGGGGAAACUCGAGGUCUGGUUUUAGUUGUACGUAGUGUUCAUCCGGUGUGCCCUGAGAACGAGAUAUGUGCAGCUCCUAUCAGGAUUUGUCGGCACAUUCGCGCGGCUUUGCUGGUCUUGUUUUACCAUUGUCGAAAUGUCUUGUAAACUGGGAUUCCGAGACUGAUCGGGUCUUCCCGGGAGAAGGUUUAUCCUUCGUUGACCGUGAGAGCUUUUAAUGGGCUAAGUUGGGACACCCCUGCAGGGUAUUAUCUUUCAGAAGCCGUGCCCGCGGUUAUGUGGCAGAUGGGAAUUUGUUAAUAUCCGGUUGUAGAGAACUUGACACUUGACCUUUAUUAAAAUGCAUCAACCGCGUGUGUAGCCGUGGUGGUCUCUUCUCGGCGGAGUCCGGGAAGUGAACACGGUUUCUGGGUUAUGUUUGACGUAAGUAGAGGUUCAGGAUCACUUCUUGAUCAUUGCUAGCUGGCGACCAUUCCAUUGCUCCUCUUCUCGCUCUUAUUUGCGUAUGUUAGCCACCAUAUAUGCUAGUGCUUGCUGCAGCUCCACCUCACCACCCCUUUCCUUCCUAUGAGCUUAAAUAGUCUUGAUCUCGCGGGUGUGAGAUUGCUGAGUCCUCGUGACUCACAGAUACUUCCAAACAGUUGCAGGUGCCGAUGAGACCAGUGCAGGUGACGCAACUGAGCUCAAGUGGGAGCUCGAUGAAGAUCUUGUUCGUUGUGUUGUUUCUUUUCAUGUUGUUCAGUAGUGGAGCCCAGUCGGGACGAUCGGGGAUCUAGCAGUUGGGUUGUCUUCUUUUCUUUUGGUUCCAUAGUCGGACCUAUGUGUGUAUCUUGAAUGUUGUAUGAUUCUAUUUAUUUAUUGUGUGAAGUGGCGAUUGUAAGCCAACUCUUUAUCCCAUUCUUGUUCAUUACAUGGGAUUGUGUGAAGAUGACCCUUCUUGCGACAAAACCACAAUGCGGUUAUGCCUCUAAGUCGUGCCUCGACACGUGGGGGAUAUAGCCGCAUCGUGGGCGUUACACUAAGGUAGCCUGCUUAUCCGAAAUUUCAGCAAUUAAUUUCUCGAGAUGAGCAAUCUGAGAUUUCAACCCAUAAAAUUCCUUAGACAUAUCGUCGAGCUCUUUAUUCAUGUAACCCAUAAAGCUUUUUUGUUCUUUACGCUCAGUUCUAAAGAAAUUGUUAUGCUCAAAUUGUAAAGUCAUGAAACUUCUAACAUUGUUUUCAAUCUCCUCUAACCUUUUAAGGUGAAGAUCACCAAAUCUAGGCAGGGCCAUAGUGGCGAGCAAGCGAUCCAACACACGAGCAAACAAGAAGCGAGCGAAAAAGAGGCGAAUGGAAAAAGAGAGGGCGAAUAAAACGGCAAGGGUGAAGUGGGGGAGAGGAAAAUGAGAGGCAAAUGGCAAAUAAUAUAAUGCGGGAGAUAAGAGUUUGUGAUGGGUACUUGGUAUGUUGACUUUUGCGUAGACUCCCCGGCAACGGUGCUAGAAAUCCUUCUUGCUACCUCCUGAGCACUGCAUUGGUUUUCCCUUGAAGAGGAAAGGGUGAUGAAGUAAAGUAGCGUAAGUAUUUCCCUCAGUUUUUGAGAACCAAGGUAUCAAUCCAGUAGGAGGCCACACUCAAGUCCCUUGCACCUACACAAACAAAUAAAAAUCUCGCAACCAACACAAUAAAGAGGUUGUCGAUCCCUUCACGAUCACUUACGAAAGUGAGAUCUGAUAGAUAUGAUAAGAUAAUGUUUUUGGUAUUUUUAUAAUAAAGAUGCAAAGUAAAAUAAAGCAAAAUAAACGGCGCCAGAAAUAGCUAAGUGUUGGAAGAUUAAUAUGAUGGAAAAUAGACCCGGGGGCCAUAGGUUUCACUAGUGGAUUCUCUCAAGAGCAUAAGUAUUAUGGUGGGUGAACAAAUUACUGUUGACCAAUUGAUAUAAUUGAGCAUAGUUAUGAGAAUAUCUAGGUAUGAUCAUGUAUAUAGGCAUCACGUCCGUGACAGUUAGACCGACUCCUGCCUACAUCCACUACUAUUACUCCACACAUCGACCACUAUCCAGCAUGCAUCUAGAGUAUUAAGUUCAAAAGAACAGAGUAACGCUUUAAGUAAGAUGACAUGAUGUAGAGGGAUAAACUCAUGCAAUAUGAUAUAAACCCCAUUUAUCCUCGAUGGCAACAAUACAAUACGUGCCUUGCUACCCCUGCUGUCAUUGGGAAAGGACACCGCAAGAUUGAACCCAAAGCUAAGCACUUCUCCUAUUGCAAGAAAGAUCAAUCUAGUAGGCCAAAUCAAACAUAAUUCGAAGAGACUUGCAAAGAUAACCAAUCAUACAUAAAAGAAUUCAGAGAAGAUUCAAAUAUUGUUCAUAGAUAAACUUGAUCAUAAACCCACAAUUCAUCGGUCUCAACAAACACACCGCAAAAGAAGAUUACAUCGAAUAGAUCUCCACAAGAAUUGUGGAUAACUUUGUAUUGAGAUCCAAAAAGAGAGAAGAAGCCAUCUAGCUAAUAACUAUGGACCCGAAGGUCUGAGGUAAACUACUCACACAUCAUCGGAGAGGCUAUGGUGUUGAUGUAGAAGCCCUCCGUGAUCAAUGCCCCCUCGGGAAGGACGCCGGAAAAGACCCCAAGAUGGGAUCUCACGGGUACAGAAGGUUGCGGCGGUGGAAUUAGGUUUUCGUGGAUGCUUCUGUUGGUUUGGGGGUACGUAGGUAUAUAUAGGAGGAAGAACUACGUCUGUGGAGCAACGUGGGCGCCGCGAGGGUGGAGGGCGCGCCGGGGGGGGGGGGGGUAGGCGCACCCCCCUGCCUCGUGCUCUCCUGGUUGCUUUCUUGACGUAGGGUCCAAGUCCUCUGGAUCACGUUCGUUCCGAAAAUCACGUUCUCGAAGGUUUCAUUCCGUUUGGACUCCGUUUGAUAUUCUUUUUCUGCGGAACUCUGAAAUAGGCAAAAAAACAGCAAUUUGGGCUGGGCCUCCGGUUAAUAGGUUAGUCCCAAAAAUAAUAUAGAAGUGUAUAACAAAGCCCAUUAAACAUCCAAAACAGAAUAUAAUAUAGCAUGAAGCAAUCAAAAAUUAUAGAUACAUUGGAGACGUAUCAGCAUACAGUUGAUCCAUCCGACCUGCUUGCGAUGGAAUAUGCCGCGUGAGUUGUGGGCAAACACUUGCUAGUAUUCAACCAUUUGCGAUUGAUGAAUUCAUCACCGAUGGGUUCCCUAGUGUGGUCCGUGUUCAUCUGAUCAUCAUCUACUUCUUGUGCUAGCUCGAUGUUCCUUCUAUGCUAAGUUUCCAUUAAUUGAUGGAGUUUUUUAUGAACACGCCAUCGUUUCCCGCCACCCAGCGAUAUUGUGCAUAAACCUAGGCGGCGUGCGAUGCACGGAGGCGACAAGCGCAGCCUGUAGCACAUCCACCUUUUCCAAGCAUGCGAACCCACCAAAGCGCUGCCUCUACCAUCAACCUCGUUGACGAGGAAAACGAGCAGGCGCCACGGCCCGUCGAGGCCGAGGCGCUCCCCGGCAACGUGAUGGACGAUGCCGCGAUGCGCGUCAUCGCCAGGGUUAAGCAGACCUUUGGCGCAUGGCGCUUGAGCGCCGCGGAUCAAGAUAGGCAUGUCAGCGCCGACAGGCUGCAGCUCGUCGCACAACAUGAUCGAUGGCGCGCCGCAGAGCAAGGUAGGCGCGUCCGCGCCGAUAGGCUGCGGCUCGCCGCACGGCGAGACCGUUGGAGCGCCGCAGAGCGAGAGGCGCGGCGCGCCGCAUAGCAAGAGCGGAUCCAUCGGUGCUUGCCUGCUGUCGACACGGCGUCGCAGCUGGGUACACGUCCCGUCAGUACCCCCAUUUAGUCCUGGCCAUCUCCGGCCCGGCCCUGUCGGCCCACCCAGGCUCGACCCUAAAAUCUAGGGCCUAGGCCCGAUGGGCUUUUCCGUGGGCCAGACUUGGGCCUGAGUUUUGAGCCCACUAGCAGGGCCUGGACGGGCUUGGGCUUAGCAUAUUGGCAUUUUAAGGAAGAGGCUCGGCCCAUGGCCCUAAGCCCGAAGGGAUUUUCAGGGCUUUUUACCAGAUGGGCCGGGCUUGGGCUUGAAAAGUAGGCCCAAUGAUAGGGCCUGGGAGGGCCUGGGCCUCAGUUUUCUGCCAUGGGCUUUUUUAGGCCCGGCCCAAGCCCGGCCCGGCGCAUGGCCAGGUAUACCCCCAUUCCUCGCCAGGAGUGGGCAGAGGCCCUCAGCGCCGUACUUGCACCAGAGGCCGCCUGCGCCGUACUUGCACCGGACGCCCGCCGCGCCGUUCGCAUGGGUGGCGCCGUUCGCCUUGUCCGCGGCCCGCUGGAUGCCAACGCACUGGUCCAUAGGCUCGACCACCUCCUUGGCCCAGGUGUCCACCUAUGCGUAGUAGAGGAACAUGGCCGUCGCAUCCUCGAGCUAGUGAUCACCGAUGAAAUAGCCAACUUGGAGUUCGAGAUCGCGCUCCAGAUGUACCGCGAGCGUGUCAACCGCUUGGACGAACGCCUUCACGAGUUCAGGCAGAGCCAAGAGCUACCGUAGGCAAGGGUUGCUGGUCAUGGUCUCAUGGACGCGUUUUAUUUUGUUGAGUCGUUUUGACGUGGAUAGCUAUGUAUUCACAACAAUCAUAGUAUUGCUCCGUUUAUUCCUCUGUUUCAAUGUGUGUACUCUGUUUUUCGUUCUUAUAUGUUCUGUUUCAAUGUGUGUAUAUACGCUUUCCAUUCUGUAUAUGUGGACGAUAACAAUUAAAUUCAAAUUAGUAUAAAAAACAGAUAGGAAAUGGAAUUCAUAAUAUAUAUAUAUAUAUUAAUUGUUCCUUAGUUCAUCACAAAAAAAAAA